UUUUUUUUUUUUUUUUUUGGUGCCUUUUUAUCAGAGGGUGCGAGGAGGAGAAGAGAGGGGAGGAGAUGGGAGCUUUGAGUGUAUAUGAUUAGCUCAAUUGGGUAUUUCUCGUGUUAAUUCAUUUUGUUUUUAAAUGAGUCACCCAUGUUUUAUUAUUCCUUAAAUCGGCAACUAGGUUAAUAGGUUAUUUUCCAAUUCUUUCAUAAUUUUGUUACAAUUUUAUUGUUGGGCAUGAAACAACGCAUGACCUUUUCCAUAGAAAUUUGAAAAAAUUCAUCAAAUGUGCUCAAAUAUUAUAACAUUGAGUAUCGAAUUUAUUUUUGUCCAAAGUUCGGGUACCAGAAUCGCUGAAGAGUCAAACUUUGAAUACCAAAACUACAUUUUAUUCAUUAAGUAACUGAACGAUUGAAUCGUCUUGUUAAGCUUUGUAAGAUUUUGGUCGAUUUAAGUUGUUUUAAUCAGGUUUAGUAGACAAAAAAAAAAAAAAAAAAAUUUCAAGUAAUAAGUGAGGCCUAGUUUUCUUUAAUACUCCAUACAAGUAUACAACCACCACCCCAAAAAACCAAAAAAAAGGAAAGAAAAAGAAAAUGAGAAAAUUUGAAAAAUAAUAUUCAGUAAUACUUCAACUAAAACCUAUAUAAUCUCCUUCAUUCCCACCCACAAACGUGAUUUUGAAAUUUCUUACUUUGUUCCCAAAGAUGAAACAAAAAAUACAGCGAGUAUUAGUGUAAAAAUUUUGGCCCAACAGCACCAAAUAUUAGGUAAUUCUGAUGUACAUACAUUACAUACAUGCCCUCUCCCUCUCAGAUUAAAUUUCAAAAUCCGACUUCAUCUCCCAGUACCCAAUGGCGAAUGCACCUGAAAUCAAAGACAAGUGGUCCUAGACGUGGUUUAAAACAUCAGAGUCGAAGAGCUGUUCCAGUUCCACUUCCACCUCUUAGCUAAAGAAACCAUAACUGUCCACCACCUCUUGAAGUUCCAUAACUACUCUUCAACAAAUCUCCUUUUCUCCACUCUACAGCCAAAUAUCUUAAAUUAAAAACUGAACCCAAUGGUUUUUAACGUACGUUGGUCCUUUAGGUAGCACAAAUGCAUAAUUGUGCUCAACGCAUUUAAUACUUAAUGACCUCAACAGUCCUCAUUUCUCUCCAUAGACUAAACGCACACCAUCUUUGUAUUAAACUUCUACUUCUUCACAUGACGUAUAUAUUGUAUGUAGUACACAGUUUCCUUCCCAGGACGCUCCCACAUUUAUGGCCUUCUUCCCUUGAUCACAAGUUUUUUCGGGGUUGCAAAGCUCUGCUUUCUUUACUCGUCAAAUUAACCACCAAGAUAUUAUUCUUUUUGUUGUGAAGAUGAUGAAUUUGAGUUGCUUUAGUACUUGCGGGACUUUGGUUUUAUUAGUUCUUUUGUUUUGGGGUGACGUUCCAAAAGGUCCUUCUAAGGUUUACGCUGUGGAAGAGUUUGAGAAGCACUAUAUUGAGUGGGAUGACUUGACAGUGGCUGAUGAGAGUGAUCAAGGGUUAGACUUGGAUCAAAGAAAACCUAGCAAAGUUAUUGUGGUUGAUAAAAAUGGCGGAGGAGAUUCAGUUACAGUUCAGGGUGCUGUUGAUCUUGUUCCCGAACACAAUCAGUUGAGACAUAAAAUUUACAUUCUUCCAGGAAUAUACAGGUUCCUCUUAACAUGGUGAUGCAUCAUUUAUUUGUGCAGAAUUCAUGCUUGUUUCCGUGAUUAUGUGUGUUUUUCCGCACGUUUUACUUUUUCUUGAUAUCUUCCCUCCCCUUGGAAGGUUGAAGCGCAGAUUUUCUUUCCAGCAAGAGUCAUUGCAUUUUCCCCAAGUAUAUUUGCAUGCAACGACAAGAAAAUAGGACGUGGGUUGUAGCUAGCGUUCAUGGAAGUUAUUAACAUAGUUAGUGGGCUAGCCAUUUUCGGUUUGUUUUGUUAAUUAACUUGUUAUAUAUUUUGUGCAUGCAUGGACCUCGGUGCCUGGUUAAAAUUGCUGGACAGAGAAAAGGUGCGUGUGCCAAAAUCCAAACCGUACGUUUCUUUCAUUGGAGAGGAAGGUCGAGCAUCCGAAACCGUUAUUACUUGGCACGACAAAGCAUCUGAUAAAGACGCAGAUGGUAAUGAAAUAGGGACCUUUGGAACGGCUUCCGUUACUGUGGAAUCCGAUUACUUUGGUGCAAGAGAGGUCACAUUCGAGGUACUAAUAAUUAGUUGUCUCUGCUGCAAAAUCUCUCAGUUAAAUACGAGGUUGAGAGUUAAUUCUGGGACAGACUGAUUAAUUUCUUAGUACCUCUCCUCCUCCAUGGAUUUAUUAUUGCAGAAUUCGGUGGUCGCAAUUCCUGGAACCAACAAUAUGCAAGCUGUGGCAUUGAGAUUAAAAGGUGAUAAAGCGUGGCUGUAUAGAGUUAGGAUUUUAGGGACACAGGAUACGCUGCUGGAUGAAUCUGGGUUACAUUUCUAUGAAGAGUGUUUCAUUCAAGGCUCCGUAGACUUCAUAUUUGGCAAUGCCAAGUCCCUUUAUCGGGUAUUUUCUUCUAAAAACCCCCCUUCUUCUUUUUUUUUCCUUUCCGUAUUUUAAUCGUGUAGCGGGCUAUCAAUAUCAUGGGUUGGAGUUGUACAGGACUGUAUCCUUCACUCUGUAGCAAACGGAUCCGGAGCAAUAGCAGCAAAUCAUAGAGACACACCUAAUCAGGAUUCUGGGUUCUCUUUUGUCCACUGUCAAAUCAAAGGGACUGGCAGAAUCCUCCUGGGCAGAGCCUGGGGAAAUUACUCCAAAGUAGCCUACUCUUUCUGCGAUUUUGACGACAUAAUCGCUCCUGAAGGGUGGAGUGAUUGGAACAGCACAGCCAAGGAAAGGUAUAGGAAGGUUCUUGCAGUUUCUCUUAUUGUUACUGCUCAAAUGUUUAACUGGCUGCUCUGGCGUAGGACCGUGGAAUUUGGAGAAUUCCGUUGCAGAGGCAAGGGGGCCGGCAGGAGAAAUCGGGUGGCGUGGUCUAAAUCUUUCAGUUUCUAUGAAGCGCUGCCCUUCUUAACCACCCAAUUCAUCCAUGCUUAUCAAUGGCUGCUACGGCGAUGAAGAGAGUUCAUGUUUUGCAAUCAUGAAGAGAGUUCUAUUAACUGUGUCUUACAUUAUUAGACGGUACAGAAUGCAGCACCAGCAAUCAACUGCCUUUACAUUAUUGUCAUAAACGAGUUCACUAGUUGUGUCUAAUAUGUAGUGACUAAUUUUAUCACCACCUGCUUCUAGGUCAGUUGUAGCAUCGUUUUGGAAAACAUUAAUUGCCUAUCGUAUACCAUAUGGUUGCAAAUGUUUCCACUUUUCAGUCCAAGAACGAAGGCAAAUGCAAGUGGGUUAGGCCUUGCUGCAUGAAGACAUCACAACUGACAUGAUAUAUGGUACUAUAUUUAUAUAUAUAUAUAUAUAUAACCAUUUGAAUUUGAACGUUACAAUGGGAUUAAAUACAAGUGAUAAGCAAGAACACAUAUCAAUAAAGACUACGAAGAGUAGCCAACAGAGGAAGAGGUGGUCCAAACCCAUAUCACCAGACUUGUGUUCCCUAUCCAUCAUAUACUGGUGUUCCCAUACCACCAAAGCUUUUCCCUUGCUACAGGCUCCCGAAUCCUCCCCGUCAAAGCAACCGUCAAAAGCAACGCAAUUUCCUAGUCCUAUCUAUUUACAUCUAACCUAGUACUUUUAACAAUCAUCACCGCAUCCAACAGUUAAUACAACUGUUAAAAGACAUUCUGACAGCAUCUUACUCAGCCGCUUCCGCUCUUUCAGCUUCACAUUGCCGCCCACCAGUCCCAAUUUCUGCUAACUUGUCUUCAUGGCUUCCCUCAUUGUCAUCAUCACUAUUCUGUGAAUUGGCCAUAACAGAACUGUUAUCAGCAAGGUGAGAUUCCGCAUUGUCCCUUACAUCACUGUCAUCAACUUGUUUACCACAAUGUUCCCUAUCUUCACAAUCAAACACUUGCUGCUGAUCGCUAUCGGCACACGCACCAUUCGGGGUCUCAUGGACAACGUCAAGUUUGAUGUCAGUUGGAGCCUUAAGGCAUGAAACAGGAGACCCAUCAGAUUUGACCUCCUUGGUAAUGGCUGAUGAAACAGAAUGCUUACUAUCUAAACUAAUAGCUGCAGAUAUGAUUGAGAGAAUAUCAGGGUUUCCCUCAACAUCCAUCCACUGAUCUCCCACCCAGUCUCUUGAUAUUCUUAGCUUCUUUUUGUCUAUAUUCAAAACCAAGUUUUCACCUGAUAUAAAACACAAGGUAGGAUUAGAAAAGUGGUUCCUGGGGUCCGGAUAAUGUGGCAAGAUCAUGCAAUAAAGUGAAAAAAAAAAAGUUCAGCUGAUGUCUUCAACAAAAAUAAUAAAUAACACUUACUGGGAAUAUAAACUUGAUAACUGCCUUUGCCAGAGUUGUAAUUUCCAGUGACUACUCCCUCCCACCAGCCGUCACUCCACCAGGCAUCAACAGGAGCUCCAACCUUGAAGACAUCAUCCAUUUGAUUAGAAGUGACAGCAGGCCUAAUAGUUGGUCGGCCUGGGUAUCUCAUUCCAAAUUUAUCAGGAGUUGCCAGUCUAAAUGCCGGGAUCCAUUCCUACCAGGUGCAAGAAAACGUCAACUCACAUCUUUCAAAUUAAAUCUAAUUUAAAAAUUUGCGCCGUCAAGGCACGAAGGAAAAGUUAGCGUGAAUAAUGAGAAUACUUUGUGAUACCAAUUGGAAGAAUCUAAAACCUUUAUAGAGCUAAAACUUUCCUUGCAAGGAAUCAGUUAAUUAGUGUUUAACUUGACAUUUCUUUCAUCAGGAAUAUUUAUGGCCAUAAACACCUGGCCCAUUGUACCAUCAAAAGGUUAACAAGGAUAUCUUUGAUAUUAUUUAGUAACAUUUCUGACAUGACAACUAUUACUCACGAAGUCACAAGGAUCUUUGCUAUAUAUUUAAAAUUGCAUCUUAGCAAUAAAAAAAUAAAUAAAUAAAAGAAAACAUUAAGUACCUCAAGAUAUCCACAGCCAUCUUCAUCCUCAAUGUCAUCAUAUUGGAUUCUCAUCUGUCUUCUUGAGAUCUCCAAUACAGUGCACCUGAACCAGCAGCCCCUGAUGCCACUAUCUUGGCACAAAAAUUCAAUCUUAUCAUUGACAUUAAACAUUGGAGUCUGCCAAAAUUGACCUUCAACAUGUUUUUGCAAGUUCGGUCCCCCAUUUAGCAGACCAUACUUCAAUUUAUCAGAGGAAAAUUUGUUUGUCACAUGUUGAGGUUCUCUACCUCUCUUCGUCCUUUUAACACCCACUUUUACCUCAUCCCCAGAGCUAAAUUCUUCAUCUUCAAAGAAAUCACGGCUAAAGCAUGAGAAAAUUGGUUGAUUAAAAUAUCCACCCAAUUUACUUAGCUUGAAUGGUUUGACUCGAUUGCUCUUGAAUUGUCUAAAACAAAAAUGUGCUCGAGCAAACACAUCAUUUGGGAAAACAGCUAUGCACUUCUCAUAAUGUUCACGAGUCAAAACUAUUGCAGGACCAUCAACACACUCCGCACUGAUAACUUGAGCAUAAGGUGUAAUAAAUACUUCUUUAGGAUGCGGGUUCCGUACAGAAACAACACCCCUUACUUCUCGAUUAUGGUGAAACCAUCUCACUUUUACCUUUUUGUGGCCCUUUCUGUCUUCAUACAUAUCUUCCAAAUAUGCAAGAUACCUGUUCUCCUUUUCAGCCAUGACAUAUACAAAUGAUUGAACCUGAAAAUUAGACUGCACAUCAGUCUAGGCAAAAUAUUGAAAUCCAAAUGACGCAUCAAAACAACAUAGAAAGAAAUAUAUAUUAACAACUCAAGGAAAACAUAAGGAGCAUGCAGUUGAUUUCCCCAGGUAUUGGAUGUCCCAAGCCUUCAGACUCAUCAUACUCAGCGGUCACACUAAAUAAUCAAAAUCUCAAAGGGGAAAAGGAAGUCCACAUCUUAUGCAAAUGCUACUGAGAAAACCUCAUGUCAAGUCUUUAGGACGUCUCAGUACGCUCACCGCUAUAGUAACCCCAUUUCUGCAAAAUGCUGGGAAGUGCUUAAGUUGUUUACCACAUGCCCAUGCUUCAUCAGACCAAACUAUAUCCGAGGGAUUUCCUCUUAAAUUCCUUGCAAGACGGCCCUGAAAUGAAAGAGCACCUGCAUUAAGUUUCACUUCUACUUCAGACUGCAUAAGAAAGAAGAGGAAAACCAGUACCUUAGGUUCUCGAAUUUGUGGCUGUCUAAUGUUGACGGCAAAAAUUGGAUCAUCUUUUGGUGAUCCUGUAAAGAAGAAGGGCAAUCUUCAAUUGAAGGAACUAAACAAUCUAUAAAUGUCAAAGCCAAUAUACUCGCACCAAACCAUUAUGGCUACUGGUCUUGAAUAAAGGUAAAAAUGUAAUAUGACAGAAUCAGUGAAGGAAUAUGCAAAAUAUUAUACAAACCUCUACCUUGCACGAGAAUUUAAUCCACAAAAACAUUGCCAUGAAUUCAAUGUUCAAUUUCAAAAAACUGAGAAAAAAUUGUCUCUAAUGUCCAGAAAUAUCACGAAUGAAAUUAAAAGCCUUCAGCAAAGGCUUAUCCGGGCGGUAAACCCCCAUGUCUAAAAAUAACCUGCCAACCCCCCGGCCCACCAAGAAGAAAAAGAAAAAUCAAAUAGCCAGGUAAGUAUCCAUACUUACAAAUAUAACUUAGUUAAUCAAGAUUAAUUUCUCAAUGAUGGCUCACAAAUCCUCAACAGGGUAAACAAGGUCAUAUCCUUCCAAAAUCAAAACUUCUAAGUAUCGAAGCAUGCUUAUCAAAGAAACAAGUGUUAACGCGUACCCAUGAACGCUUGCACAGGGCACCACGAUUGUGAAAACUCAAAUGCAAAUAGAAAAGCGAUGAGAAGGGAGGCAAAGUGGAAGACACAAAGCUUCAGAGCUAUAAAACAGGGAGAAGCCAACAAUUUCUCUAAUUUUUAUCAAACCUUCAAAAAGUAUCAGAAUAUGCAGUUUAGAAGAGAGUUCCACAAUUGAAUCAAUAUCGGACUUGCUAAAUCAAAGAUAUGGGCAAUCGCACAACACACAGCUGGAAAACAGCUAGCACUACAAAUGACGGCAAAAACAUACUUGAGCAAUCGCUUUGUCUAUGCUGUUUUGAAAGCAUAGAUGUGAGCCAAUUUACGACCUCUCUCCUUGAUCUCCAUCUGAAGCCAGCAUGGACAGAAUUCUCAGCCCCAUAAGCAUUCAAAAACUCCUCAGAAACAACAUAGAACAUGUGCCUAACACUUCUCUCAGUACCCACAACAGCAAGAAUGGAUUCCCCUGAUGAAUCCUUCAAGAAAUAGUGAACCACCCGGUUACCCCUCUCUUUUGAAACAAAUUGUUCUUUCCACUCUACAAAACACUGAUCACUUGCAGCCAUAAUUCAAAUAAUACUAAACCUAACCUAGGGAGCUAAACGAACCGUCGAAGUCCUAAAAAAUCCCAAAUUUGCAAAACUUAAGCUGCCCUACAAAAGAAAUCUGUCAAAGGGUGUUGACCAAAGCAAACUAGCCGUCCACAAAAGCUAAAGCUGCAAUCUUUGCAAGAACUGAAGGACAAAAGGUUACAAUCUUGCCGAUUGAGUGCUCAAACUAAGUUCACUCAAAAGGGCUUUUCCGAAAUUCCAGCCGAAAGUCAAAGAAACUCAAAGCAGACAAAAAAGCAGGGUAUUUGGGGCAAAACUGAGGACGACCCACAAAAGCCCAUGGCUCAAAAGAUCUGAACGAACGGCAGAAACCUAAGUAAGAUAACAGUUCAAAACGCCACCUAACUUUUCAUUUCUCCUACCUAAGUAAAAAAAAAAAAAAAUCAUCAACAAAAUGAAGUAAGCGUCAGGGUUAACAACAAUAGGGACAGAGCUAAGAAGAAAUUAGCAAAUCCAAAUGGUUUGGGAGUUGAAUAGAGAAAAGAAUAGUAUGCCCCAGUUGAACGUGGAAAAAAAAUAAUAAUAAAAAAAAAGAACCAGUUUUUGUUCCCUGGCUUUCAGAAGCUGAACAUUGAAAAGCUAGCUAGGGAAGAAAGAGAAAAGGAGGAGGAGGAAGAGUUGAGGAGAAACACCGGAGAGAAAAUGGGGUUCAAUGGGAAAAGAAAGCAUAGUGGAAGGGAAGGCAAGGGAAGGGAGAGUUGCAGAGUCGUCAAAGGAAGCUGAAAGUGGAAACUGGAAACCCUUCGAGAUUUUUUUUUUUUUUUUGGAAUUGGGCAAGAGGGAGUGGGGAUGGGGUGGGGACUCGUAGCCGGUACCCGGUGGAAUGAUCAAAUGAGGUAACAGUAAACUAUGAUCAUAAUGAAAUCUAUCAUGUGAUUCGCUUAGAUGCUUUGAGCAAACAGUGGGACCUCCUACUUCAUCUUGAUCAGCUUGAUCUUGAUCCUACGGUUAUUCUGUAAAUUCUACUUUCUCACGGACGCCGUAAUUCUCAUUCGUAGGCAUGGCAACGGUUUCAGAAUUGUCGGUUCUGAUUUUUUAAAGAGGUAGAAUCAGAACCGUAUCAUAUAAGAUGGUUUUGGUUCUGAUUCUUUAAAAAGGUAGAACUAGAACUGCAUAGUUAUAAUUUUGGUUCCUUAUGGUUCUAGUUCUUGUUUUCGGUUCUAUAUAGUUGUAUAUAAUUUUAUUUAAUUCCUCAUCCUUACCAAUUUUAAUACGAAUAUAACAAUAUAUUUAAAAUUUCAAAUAAAAUGUAAAAAAAUAAAUACAAAAUAAAGAUCAUAUUUUAAUUUUAUUAUUAUUCUACAAAGUAAGAAGUAAUAAAUAGAUAAUAUAAAUUUUAUGAAAAGUAUAUUACAUUGUCAAAUUAAAAAAUACAUUACACUAUCAAAUGGUUGUCAUGUGUUAACUUUCUUGAGUUGGACAAUCAUCAAUGUUGAAGAUUCCAUUUGAAGAAAUAUUGCAAAAAAUAUUUUUUUGCUUGCUUGAUUUUGAAGAUGAGCUACUACCAUCAAAACUUGUCAUUUGAUAGCAAAUAAGUAAAAAAAAAAUGUGUAAGUAAUAAUUUAAUACUUACAAAUUAUAAUGAUAGAUAUUAGAUGAAUAGAAAGAAUUAAAUAAUUAAUAAAAUAUAUAGAAAGUCCAUAAAAUUUAAACUUUCUUAAAACCUAUUAAACACAACUUUUUUUUUUUGAAUUAUCUCACUACUUAUAUUAAUUAUUUUUAACGGUUCUGGAACCAGCGGUUCUGGUUCUGGUUCUAUUUUUUAGAGAACCAGAACCGGAACUACCACGGUUCUGGUUUCAUGAUUUUAGUUCUGAUUUUGGUCCAAUUCCAAACGGUCCGAUUCCGGUUCAAUUUCUGGUUCCAAAUGAAACCAUGGCCAUGCCUAAUUCGUAGGUCUCUAAUUUUAAUUUUCUCCAGCACCGCGGAUGACUCGUGUCUUCAGCCCAUUCUUCCCCAUGAAAUUUCUACUCUCAAUGGUCAAUGCUACCUUAGUCUCCCUUUUCUUUUUUUUUUGGAAGGAUGCAACCGUUAAAACCUCAUCCAUUUUUGGGUCGGGUGUAAAUGCUAACCAAAAAAGGUCGUGUGAUUUCUAGUAAUUUCGAUUGUUGAAAAAAAUUAAAUGCUAACCAAAAACAGGGCAUUGGCUGUUGUCGCAGAGUAUUUCCGGAAUGGUUCUUAAUUCUUGUACAGUUGUGAGAGCUGGUUUAAUGCUCCCCUCGACUCGACAGUUACUUUUUUGGGCAGAAACCUGGAAAAGUCAAGUAAAUGCCCCGUUUGAGCACAAGAUUUUGCCUUUAUUAAAUUAGGGACUUUUCAAAAAAAGUUAUUGGAUUUACAUGACGAACAGCAUCAACGCUAUUAUCCUUUUUUCCAAAAAGAUAAAAAAAAAAUAAAUUAUCAAUUUCAAUACAUGUGCUGUUGAAAGUAACUUCUGUAACACAACAACAGUGACAUCCACCGAGAACUCUGCGGUAAUUUUGGGUUUCGGUCGGCUAGAAGCAGUAUAUCAUUGGGUCCACAAGGGUCUGGAGGGCCGAUCCAAAAUGUACUAACCCACCUAGAAACAGACCAAAGACCUACUCAUGGUGGUCCAAAGUUCAACAGAUCAUUUUGAUCUUCGCCUAUGUAUGGGCCAGGCUUUUUUGGGCCCCGCGGCCAAGCUUCCAGAAGUGAAACCGAAAUGAAAGGUCGCGAAGCUAGCAGCAGUACUAGUUUCUUUAUGCACAGCAGCGUUAUUCCCUGUGCUUCGGGAAGACAAGGCAGGACGGUCAUUAAAAGGACCGUCCCUGAACAGUGCACGGUCAAAAUUUAAUUGUACGAUUCAAAUUACUUUUUGUACCUCGUUUUUUAUAACGUUUGUGGAAUCUACAAAAAUUUAUUUUAAAGUUACAUGUUGUGCAAAUAAAGAUGUUGUGCAAAUAAAGUUACGCCGUGUGCAAACAAAGUUAUGCCGUGUGUAAAGUGCACAAAAUCACUAGGAACGGGGGUUGCACCUAGGUCCGUGCUUCGGCUGCAAGUGCUAUUCCAUUUUCAUGUGCUUCCAAUAGCAGCAUGCUAUCAGCAAGAAAGAAAAUCAUCUUAGCAUAGCACCAGAUAAAUGUACAACGUGCCAUUUACAUAAUUUCAUCCAAAUGCUUCAUCAAUCAGUUUCUCUUGUGAUGCCUGACUGCUUUCCAAAUCGCCUUUCAACUACUAAUCCAACAGAUGUUACCAAGAAAAUGGCCUCCACAAACAUAGAAUUUCAGCUGCUCCAGUUCAAGGACUUUGUGCUAGCUUAGCCACAGGGGGGCACACGAGACUAUCUCCACUCUCCACAUGCUUCACAUCUUUCCAUCUUUACAACAUUAUCCAGAGUACAGAAUUUGCAUGACCAGAACUUCCGUUUUCCAUCAACGUCUUUGGGUUUUCCGGAGCUGCAAAGCUCACACAUCAGCGCUGUUUGCUGCAAUAGUCAGAUUGGAAGGAACAACAUCAUGUCAAAUCCAUGGAAGGAUUGGAAAAUAGAGAAACCAUCAGAUAAUCCAAGUUGUCAUAAAAUUAGAGCAAUUGGCUUGAUUUGUUAUAAAAAGGCAAAACUUUAUUCAAUUGUCAAUGCCUGAAAACCAACAAAUCAUGGCAACAUAAGAGACAACUCAUUCAUUCGGUAGUUCGAAGCACAGCAACUAAACUGCUUAUAAGAAGUUUUCGUUCAUGGCGAUGGAGAAGAAAGUAGUGACCAAAAGUUAAUUCGACCGAUCUGGCCAGUGAUUAUAAGUUUUACCACAAAAUUUUAGGAUAUGCAAGCGCACUAGUUUCUAUCAAGACACUAAACCAACUUAACCAGGAAGAGAAGUCGCGAAAUGGACAGCAUGGCAUAAUACUUCAAUUACAACAGCCAAAGGAGAAGUUGAAAUUUGGAAAACCUUGAGCACUUACAGGAUUCAACAAGGUACACGUCCCACACUCCCACAUGGAACCCCUAGUUGGAUUGCUUCCACAAACAGAUCUAGGAGCAGUCUUGCUCGAUAAAUCCUCUCUACUUGACUCAAAAUCAGCAUCUGAGCAGGUGGAUUAUUUCAUUAUCAAAUAUUAGUACAUGAUAAUAAAUCAUAGACUCAGUGAUUGAGGUACCUGUAGUUAGGUCCAAAAACUUGGACUUUGAAUGACCAUUAUUAGACAGAGAUGAUGAUGCUAUACCAUUUAAUCCACGCCUUCUUUUCCGAGAUAUCACAUUCAAAAUCUGACCAUCAAAACUACCAAAAUCCCUUGGAUUUUUUGAACUGUGCACUAUAUUCAAGGAAUAUUGAUUGUUGUUUUCUUCUGCAUUUUCAGAUGCAUCAUAAGAUUCAGAGCCACACCAGAUAUUAUCUCUAUAUCUCCUCUCUGCAGCCAUUGCAGCUGCUUGCGUAGGAGUAAGUGCCGCCAUCAUAGAACUGUCACCACCUAUGCGUUUGGGUCCAGAUGGCAGUAAGGGAUGCACUCUCGUUUCUGCAGCAGCCAAAACAGUCUGGCGGAGAAAUGAAAGAGGGGGUUGAGGUUUGAUACCUCCCAACGGCCUUCCUGUCCCACUUAUCCCCUUUCUGAUAAGGUCCUCGCAUUCCUAUGCAUAUAACAAUUGAAUGACGAAAUACGAGAUUAUACAAGAUAAAGGGCAUACACGUUAAUGCAAAAUUUGGAUAAAAACAGAAGGUCUUUUAAAAAAGCAAUCUUUUUAUUGGAGCAAGUAAAAUAUACUUCUUUGGUUCAACAUCUUAUCAAAAUAAAAGCAGACGCAGGGAAGAUUACCCUCCUAAGUUCAUCCCAGAGCCUGUAGAAGCCAGCAUCGUGAGGGCCAUGAACAUUGUGGCAGAGCUCGUGAAGCAUUGUAUCAAGAACUUCAUCAUAAGGGAAAAACUCCUCAUCACUGUAAUAACUCCUAAGCCUCAACUUUACAUGCUGGCCUCCUCCUAUGUUCAACCCCAGAAGGUUUUGUUGACUGCAAAACCAAUCCACUCAUUCAGAAUUCCAUCAAUUCAGAAAAGAAAAUGCAGAUGAAACAUCGACCCACCUUAUUCAAACCAGAAAUUAGUCUACGAAGAACUUUAACAAGAAAAAAGAGAAAAGCCAAUCCAGUGUGGUUCGUCAGCCGGUGAGUAACCAGUCACAUACGGUCAUGCCAACAAUAAGGGAACAAAGAAGCCCAUUUCAAAACUCCUAAAAAAGUUCAAAAAUUUCCAACCUUUCCCAGUUUCUGGGUUUUUCAAUCUAAUGAAAGAGAAAUUCUAUCCCAUACAAAAAAAUUAAUCCUUUCUACUAUAUUUCAACAGAUUAAACAGGCAAUAAAGUGAUUACACAAAAUUGUAAAAGCCAACCAAAAAAAAAAAGAGAGAUAAAAGAAUAAAACAAUUUAUUUAGUACCAGAAUUCGGAGAGGAGCUUGACCUUCCAGUUAUGUUUUUGCAUAAUUGGUUGAACUUGCGCUGCGAUCUUUUGUAGAAAUUUCCUGGCUUCUUCUUGUUUAGGCUUUGUCUUCAUAACUCUAAUUUCCCAUACUUUGUUCCCAUCCGCCGAAUUCAUGAUCUGAUAUCUAAUGGUAAUGGAAACAGAUAAACCGGAAUUAGAGAUACUUUAUGCUUGCACUCUAUCGAUUGAUUCCACGAGAACGAACACACGGAGAAAAAAUUACAACACUGCACUAAUUGGAAAAUUUGAUGGACGCUCAGAGUCGGAGACUGAGUUGGCGCCGGGGCGGGUAUUCAAAAUGGUCAAAUAGAGGGUGUAGGAGUUGACUCGAGUGGUGGGUCGAACUGCUGUUUUAUAUGGGUCGAAGCCCUUUUUUUUUUUUUUUUUUUCCCUUCAAAGGAGGUCGAAGCCUAAUCCAAGCUAUAUGAAUUUUUUAGGGAAAUUCUGCCAUCCUUGGUACCAUAUACCCAUGAUUCUAAUCUUAUAAACUCUUAUACCAUAAGAGUUUAUAAAUGAUUUUAAGAAUUUGUAUCUCUUUUUAUACAUUCAACGGUGAAUUGAUACUCAUAGCAUGACAUUCUAAAAUAAAUUGAUACUCAUUAGUAUGGCAUCCUAAAAGUAUUGUAGAAUUCUCAAAAAUUUUAAGGCUCAAGCCCAAAAUAUACAAUGGAAAAAUGUGUUUAUAUUAUUAUUAUUAUUCUUAAGAAUUUGUUGAAUUUGAAGAGGGUUGAAUUAAAUAGUAAGAGAAAAAAGAUUGCAAAUAGAAGAUCGUAAUUCAAAACCUCCCCUUGACAAAAGAUAAAAAAAAUAAAAAUAAAAAUUUUGCAUGAUUUGGGGACUGCUUCUAAAAUUCCAAUUAGACAAGUUAAUUCUUGAUUCUCGAACACCUUUGGCGGAACAAUUGGAGUUUGGACAUUCUGCAACGUGUUAGAGAUCAAAGCAAAUUUGUCGAGUGAAUGGAGUCGAUCAACGUUUCAACUAUUGAUGAUCCAUUUGUACUAAAAUCCAACUCAACCACACAAGGAAACUGGUGGAGUCACCUUAGAUUCGGGUGUGUGUGUUUCUUACAGUUGUUGAAAGACAAGGAAAUCUUGAUACCAAAUUUACCUCCUGCAAGAAAAGCAAAUCAAAAUGGCUUAGUUCUGCAGCUGCUUAGACGGAAAUUUUAUUCUCUCUGCAAAUCUCAGGCAUGCAGAUGAUAUACACUACUGCCGGUAUGGAUACCCCUUAAAAAAAUAGAAAAAGAGGGGGCCUUUAAAUUUUGUUCUAUGAGCUAUCAAAACCAGUCUAAAAUUUGCUUAAUCACUCGACAAAAGCUAGACGUGAUUUUCUUUAUAAGAAAUUAAACUCUAUCUGCAAUAUACUCUGACGUACCCCCCCCCCCCCCCCCCCCCAACCCCAAAACAAACACACAGCAGACUCAAUAUGAGCUCAAGUGUCCCAAAUCAUCACAACAGCGAUGACUCCAACACCUAAUAAGACGGCCAAAAAUUUGUGACAAGGCAUGUCUACUUCCUGAGGAUUGUAACCCUUGGAGAGCAGAUGGUUGAUGGACACAUAUAUGAACACCCCACAAGCAAGACCCAUGGAUAUCGCAUAUAUCCAGUCUGCAACAGCACCUUGGGUUGUAGCAUCUAUUAUAAUUCCAAUGGCAACACCUAUAGGGCUGGAAAUUGCAAAUGCAAAAGCAUAGGCAGCACAAGAUAAGAGAGGGCGGUUUGGGAUCAUCCUGAGGAGAGCUAUUCCCAUUGCAAUCGCUGCAAAGAUCUUGUGCAGACAUACGGUCCAAAGAGCUUUCCAAGCAUCAGCUUUGGUCUCUGCAACUCCAAUAGCGAUGCCCUCAAACACGGAAUGGAAACACAAGGCAACGAUCAACAAGAUGCUAUCCCCAAGAGAAGCAGCAGUUACAAGUGGUGCCUUACUGAAGUGGUGAUCUGAAGGGCCAUGGACCUGUUAACAACGAGUUGUUCAAUUGAUCUGAGAAGUAAGAUAUUUUCUUCAAAAGUUAACUAGACCAGAGAGCUAAAGCACUGGAAGAAAGACCAACCUGAACCUCAGGUUGAGAAGCUCCCCCGUUGCCACUUCCUUUUCCACUGUGAGCAACCCCUGCAACACCCAUACAAACUUGGACUAUCAAUCACCUUUUAAACGCAAAACAUAGCAUGAAUCCCACUCAAUUGGAACUUAAAAAUAUCAAGUUAACAUGCUCUGACCUAGCUCUUUUGUUUUUUAACCAUCUCUUCAGACAUAGCUACAUCUGUUUUACAUGGUAACCGUGCAAGCUUUGCAGCAUCAGAUAAUCCAAUCUGUAAACUCAGUUUCAUAAUUUCUUACAGCAGACUCUCCAUUGGAAUCAGAAAAGUUCCUCUUUAUGUCAAAUAAAACCAAAAGAUUCCUCUGAGCGGAGCAGUCUAAACCUCUAAACUCAUGCUACCGCUCGAAGGGCCUUACAAGUUACCAAAUCAAUUGCAUCACGACGACAAGAUUCUAUCUCUAUUGUUUUCCUCAACUUCUUGGCAGCCAAAGACAAGCUAUAACACAGACAAAUUAAUUCCAAAGCACUAAACUUCAAGAACAUAUUCAGGAUGAAAACUUUUUAGUAGCCAUUCUUCCAAGUUGGUAUAAUUUGAUUCACAAAUGUCUCGUCUCCACUCAACUUCUAGGCUUCUAGCAACUAAACAAGUAAUCGUCAAGCUCUGAAUCAACAUACAUAAAACACGUGGCAACCAUACACAGCUUACUCAAUAUCAAACCAAACCAACUUGCCGGAAUUUGUCAGAAUCUAACUCUGUGCAAAUACAAAUUGAGCAUUUAAAAAAACACUUAGAUAUAAAUCCAACCUUGAUGAUGAUGAAGAUGAUCAGCACCACCGGUUGAAGAAGAACCGUCAUUACCAUGCUGCUUCCCAUAUAUAUAGAAAAUGAAGCAAUCAGCCAACAUGGUCAACAAGUAUCCAGCACUCGCCAGCAUGAAUGCAAAAGGGUAUUCUUUAUGAGUCAGAUCCUCAAAAGUCUCAUUAGAAUCGCUCAAGAAAUGCAUCAAGGCAGUCCCCAGGAAAACCCCACCGGCGAACUGCGUCCCCAGCACUAUAAACGCCUCAUUCCACUUGAAGAAAUACGGCGACAUCCCCCCAGCAAAAGUCCCAACAAACACUAGAAUCAAGCACCAUAUCUUCACCAGAAUCAGUGAACGCGCUCUAAGAUUGGGUUUUUCUGAAGAUGGGUCGGACCCGGAGUCUGCAGAAUCAUCAUCGCCGUCGUGAGCGCCGCCGUGCGCCGUGGCGGAGACGACUAAGAAGAGGAGAAUAAGGGCGAGGAUUAUAUGGGGUCUGGCCAUGGAAAACUGGGAGCAUCUUUUGACGGGGUUAGAUUUGGAGAAUAUAUAUGGAAAAUUUGGUUUUGGUACUAACCGUCUGGAAAAACUAUUGUAGUACAGAAAUUAGGACAAGAUUUAUCAUCGCUUUGGGUUUAUCGUAGAAGACGACAGGAGUACAACGUACAGCGUACGAUCACCGAAACACGUUUAUGGAUUUGAUGGUUAAGCUGAGAACUUGGAAAGUAGACAGCUUUCUUUCUUUUAAUUUGGCGCGUGAUUUCCAUUAAUUCCUCUUGUGGAUAUUGGAAAUCACCCGGAAUGCAAUCCAAUUGCUGUAUUUCCUACUAAAAUACUUGAAUGAUUUAUUUGAGAUAAUUACCUUAACAUUUCUUGUGAUGUAAUGUACGUAAAAUAAAAAAAUAAUUGGAAAGAUAAAAAGGUGAUUGAAAUUUAUGAAUCAAAUUAUUUUAUCUCAAAUACGCUCAAUUCUCAUUCAAAGAAAAUAUUUCUAUUUAAAGUACCAGCAAUAUCAGUUCAUUUAUUUCCUUUUGUUUCCCCUUAUUCUUUAUAAUUUACCCUUUCAUGCAUUGGUUAAAAUUCAAAAAAUAAAUUUUUGUGGUUUGAAUUCCAAAUGUUGGUACGUAGAAAUACAAACAAAUUCUUAAUAUGUAAUGGUGCAAAGCAUUCCAAUUCUCUUUCGAAGCAUUUUUUUUUUUUUUUGGUAAAAGCAACAAAAAGGUUAGCAAUGUUCUGCGCAACAAAAAGGUUGCCACUAUUCUAUUUCAUUCUUCCGUGAAAUGAAACGAGGAAGCUAUUGCUUUGUAGACAAUUAAUGCAAGUGUGUACUACUAAUUCCUUUAACUUUACUUCGCUAAAUUUUGUUUAAUUGUGAGCAAAUGUGGUGAGUACAAUGGGAACAAAAUGUAAACUCGAGUUGCACAACGUUUAACAGUUCUCUACGAAGUAAAAGAAAAAACCCAAAUUCACACAUUUCACUUCAUUUUUUUCCCUUCUCUCAAAGUCGAAUUCCCCUGAAAAAUUAAUUAGUGAAGUAGGCCUACAAAUAGAAGACAAAAGAUGGAAAAAGAAAAAGAAACAAAAAAAUGGAAUAUUACUGAUCCAAAGAAAAGCUAGAACAUGAAGCUCAACCUGCGUUUAGACUUGAGAAGCAUUCUAUCUUUUGCCCUUUUGCCUUUGGAACCAGAAAUUAGUGUGCGGUAAAACAUUACAUCAAAGCCCAGCAACCGACGAGCUAUGUGGGCAACCUACGACCCAAGAAGAACAAGUCAGUCAUUUUCUUUUGAGAAGACGAUCACGAUCAUUUUAAUGCCGUGAUGCCUCCACCGUUCGCUGGCAAUGUCCGUUUCAACUUUGGAACAAAGAUAGCUUUUUAUUAUUCCCUCCCAAACAUUUUGACUACCUUAAAGUUCCCUUUCUCCUCCUUUACCAAACCAUUACGUGAUUUAAAAAAAAAAAAAAUUUCCCCCCUUCUUUAUGCAUAGAGAACGAUCUAGGCGAUACAAUUGCAGUCAGAAGCCGUCCAAACAACAUCUCAGUUAUCUACGUUUGCAGAUAGAACCGAAUAUAUACCCAAAAAGGACAGGUUAAUGCCGUAACCGUUGCUGUGAUGCAUCCUCCAGAUCUUUUCUUCUCCUUUGUUGUGUAAAUAAGGAAAUACUAACAUUGCAAUAAAGAUGCAUUCUCCGGAUUAAUGAAAUAUAAGACGGGUAAGGCUUCAUGAAAGCCCAACAAUUUAAAUGAAUUCAUUACAACCGAACCAAUAUGUUGAUUUUGCAUGCGUCAAGGAUGCUGAAAUCAGUCCAUAGCAGCCUAGCUUUGACCAUCCUGUCUACAUUAAAGAAAAUCGGAUCACAAUGAGCACAUCUGACUGGGGAUCACAAACGUGCAUUCUUCCCUACGUUACGACUUAUUAUGUCUCCACUAACAUAUGGUUGGUUGGUGCCGGUUUAUUGAGACAGUUAUUUUCAUUUUUCACUAGAUGAAAUAAUUAUUGUUAUUCCAAUUCUAUUUCUUUUUCAAUAGCUGAGAAAUUGCUCUUACUGCUGUUUGUCUACCGGUUCAUGUUGUAUAUUACUUUGUUCAAAACCACGACAAUUACCGGGGCUGAAACAUUUUGGGUAUAUGCAAAUUCAAUUGGCAAUUAUGUGACUCCAUAUGCAAGUAAUGUUAGUAAACCCGUUAAAAACCAGUGGCAGGUAAUAUACGUGUUGGUGCCGAGCUUAGUGUUCUUUCAUCCGGAUCUCUUGAAAGUAAAGCCUAGCAGGCCCCGUCACCCGUUCCUCCACAGUUAACAGAAAAUCAAAAUGAAACAUUACGAACAACAGUGCCCUAUGGAGAGGACCCGCGAAGAAUUACUUUCUCCCACCAACAAAGAAGAAGAUAUUUCCUCUGCAGCUGAAAGUCCGGUGGUGCAAUUUCUCUGCUUUUCUUUCUACCCUCCGCUCCUUUUUCUAUAUUUUCUUGCAUUCUAUAUUCAACUCUUCAUACCCCAAACCACGACCACCAACCUUUUUCCUAAACCCCUCAAAAUUGACAAUAAUCAUCGGUCAGAUGUGUCCCCAUGAUGCUGCAGCCUUCAAAAAUGCGUACAAGUUUCUACUUGCCACAUGGACUAAAAUCAUAGGGAUUAUAGACUAUCGUCUUAAUAAUCAUCAAGCGAGCUGAAAUGAACUACACAACGGACUGACUAGUAUCUCAUCAGCAGCCAUAAUCCGACAAAUACUCACUUCCAAUAAAUUCCAACCGUGUUCCUUAGCGUUGCCAGAACCUACGUUUCUGCUCUUGCAUCCGUCUGCCACAACAAAACAAAUACAUCAGCCAGGCAAUCAAAACUUCUGCAUCAUGCAUAAAAGUUACAAAAUAAAUCUGCCUUAGGAGUACGCUUGAUUUGAAGGAGGAAGGGACGAGUAGGGAAUUUAAGACCGCUUUCAGCAUCAUCAGCCAAACAGUCUAAAAUAAAUGCACGACACACCCAUGCGAUCAGAACAAUUGGACACGCCCUUUUUCAUAUCAAAAUAUGAAUAAAGAUUUGUUACCCAGACACUAAUCGGGAUGACCAAGAUUAAAUGGUAACGCUUCCAUAAAUAUGAACAAACAUGAAACUGCAAAUUUAGAUUUCCACAAAAUUCUUUCUUUUUAUUGUGUUGGGUCUCUUUUUUUCUUCUUUAUUCAUUGAAUUACAAAAAACUUGAAUCCCUAUCAAAUGGGCACCUAAAAAUAACUGGACAAGGAGAAACAGAUGCAUCAGCAACGUCCACUCUUGAGUUUUAACUUUUAAACUGAAAGUGAAGCUAAGACAAACUUCACCUCUGAUGCUCUUUGGAGCGUUGAAUGAACUCUUUACCAACAUCAUCCCCUUUGUAUGAAGCUAAGACAGCUCGAAUAUCAGGUGGUCUCACCUUAGCAACAUCUGCAAUCAAACAAGGUGACUGUAAAUCCUGCUUCGUAAGCUCAACUAAAUUGUCAACCACAAGUAUCUUUUUGAAAGCAUAUACACAGGCUCACAUUCAAGAAAUGGAAUUAGAUCUAGAAGUGCUGUGUCUUCUGUUUCACCCUUCCAUGGUUUUACUUGUACAGCAUUUUCUGGUUGAAGGGUAGUUUCUGCUGCAUGAGCACUCAUAUAAAUAAUUCUGGAGGGAUCCCUGUUCAGCAUUGAGAGGUCCUGCCACCAGGGAAUGCACAGAGUACCAAGUGAUAUCCAUCAAAAGAAGCUUUGAUCAGACAAUGUAACAAAACAAGGAAAAUUACAAGUUAUUUACCACUGGACUAACUUUGAUCAGGUAGUCUAUUCAUACUAACAGACUUCAGAUCAUUGCAGUAUGAUAGAAUGUCUGGACUCAGGACUCAAUGUCUUGUUUUUGCGAAGCACUACAAUUUAAGCUUGAUCAUUGUAUCCUCUCUAAAUAUAGGCCUAGAUUAAAUUUCUCUAAAUGCACAGCGUAAGAGAAAACAACUUGUUCAUUCCUCGAAAUCUUUCCUUGUGGAAGGCAAUGAGUGACAACAGGUUGAUGUUGCAUUUCCUUCUCUAAGUGCAAGAAAGUAAGAUUCCUAGUAGAUCUCUGUUUUAGAAGACCUUGAGACAUGCAUAUUGUUGUCCAACCUAGGCAAUUCUGAGAGUACAACCAAAACUAGUCCAAAAGAAUUCUUUUGGCAGACUUUGUUUCGUGUUCUAAUAAAGUGAAUAGGAUCGAUAGAACCCCAAUUUAGAAUAUAGGAGCAGCACUCAGAAGAGGCAACCAUUUUCCCUAAUAUUGUAACCAGUUGCAUAAUAGUUAUUAUAUUUCGAUUCAGUUGAAUAUUAAACAAAUCCUCUUUUUUUUGGUAAUAAUAUAUCAAAAAACAAGGUAACAGUAAGCAGUAGGAUGUAGCUCCCUUCAUGAAAAGGGAAAAUGAAAAUGUAGAUGAGAUGUAGGAAAUAGUAACAACAUAUACAAAAUUUAUGAGAGAUUUUUUCUUUUUGUGUUUUUUUUUUUGUUUUUUUGGGGGGGGGGGGGGGGGUAGGGAAAGAGAUAAAGAAGAGCAUAGACAUACUCUAUAGUGCUUUCCCUUAAUAUAUCUAGUUGAAACUCUAUCUAGCUUCUGUCUGAAUAUUGUUUGCUGUGGGUCUAAUCUCUGAACCACAGGGUCCACAAACUGCAAAUGACAGGAGUAAUCAUCACAGAAUUUGAUAAUCCAGAACCAAGCAACCCAAUACAAAAAGGAACAUGAAAUUACCAUACUCAUUUGGUCAGAGUAUACAAUGACUUCGAAAAAUUGCGAAACAUGUUCUAAGAAGGCAUCAACACCAGGUCUUUUAAAUGUUCUCCAACCCCUGUCACGCUUUUGAAGACCAAAAUACAUAAGAGUAAGUAACAUUAAUUAGCCUAUUAUCCAAAAUGCUAGUUACUUACAAAGAACCUUCUCAAAACCAGCUACAAUACUGGGAAUUCGUUCAGGAUUUGCACAUUGUAAAAAAUAUAAGAGGCAAGAGGUUGAGACUCAAUGAAGAAGGGAAAGUUCCUUUACCACAAAACAGGACUUCAGUUUCUAUUAUGUUAUAGUAGCAUCCAUAUUUGUUGAAUUCUAGAAACACAACAUUUCGUGCUAUUUGUUCAGAUAAGAUAAAGAACCAGCCAUCUUGUAGGUACAAGGACUCUAUCAUCUCUAACACAACUCUGGAAGAACCACAAUACAACUACUGAAGAAAUUAUAUCCAGAAAAUGGGAACAGGGUAAUUUAAAGUCUUCUGGUUGAUCCUUAAAUGCUAUAAGCUACACCAUCAACCAAUAUAUGAUCAUUAAUAGCACAAUUACUAAUCAUCUAUUCAGUAUUGAAAAUUUUACCUUCCAAUCAGAAUAUACUAGAGUCUCAUUCAAAUCCAGAACAAGAGUGAGCACGCGCGCCUGGUUUUCUUCAGGCAGCAUGUCUGGUAGUAGCUUAUCAGAUGGUGGUUCAGAAAAAUCCUACCACAAUGCAAAAUUUCGUUAGAUGUAGGGAAAAUAGAAAGCAAAAGAAGGAAAUAAAAAUAACUAGUCAAAUCUAUAACGGUCAGAAUUUCUCAAUGUUCAUAACCACUCAACUCGAAUCUGAUCUUCAGCCAACCUCCGUAGAUCCAAGUAGAAUUCAACUAAUUUAGCAGGCACUGAAAUAACAUAUAAACAAAUUAAAACGAUGGGAGCAUAAAGAAUAUUAAUAUUGAAGGAGAAUAGUAGACAGUAUGGAGCUAUAGGAACAGUUUUUAGUCAAGAGUUUCAUUAAAAUUUGUUACCUUUUUUCUUCUCCAAAAUUCCCCACUGAAAAAUCUAAGAGUAGACUCCAGAUGUCAAACACAACAGGUGACAUUCACCAUAUAUUAUCCCACUUAAAUAUGUUCAGAGGCUUAUUUUCUGUUCCCUAUUAAAAUAGUUCAACGUUCUUGUAGCUUUAAGUGAGAAAAGAACACAAUCUGAAACAACAAAUAAUAAAGAGUACAAACGGUUGUAUUCACCUGUCAUUCCACCUGAGAUCAGCAAUCCUUUCAAUUUCUGCAUAAAAAGUAUAAAAAGAACAUUAUCCUUCAAAGAUGCAGGCAUUACUGCAAUUAAGAUAACAUGUCCAACCAAAAUGAAAGUGAGAAAAAAUUAUCAAUAUCCAAUAUAUCAUGCACCUAGUUCAUCAUUGACUCUUGAGGUGACAUUACAGUUAAUGCUCAUUUAAAACACCAAACCAGCAGAUAACCUUUUCUAAUCAUUAAAAACUAUAUGCUUUCAGUACAUAAACGUUCUUAUCUUUUACCUAUCUUUCCUCCUUCAAAAUGAGUACUUGUCAUUUGGUAGAGUACUUAUACAUGUAAACACAAACACCACGAUAGGUAUUUAAUCACUUAACUGAAAUACAGCCAAGAAAAGAAUAUAAAAGCACUUGAAUAUUUCCCUCAAUCUGCUAAAUGGCUUAGUUCAGCUCUUGAUACAGAAAGAGGUGUUUGAACGAAAUGGAAGAGAGGCUUGCAGCUUCUCAAGUGGAUAUAACGGCUGCUUUCAUGAAAGGUUUCAAAAAUGCAGUAGCAUACUCACAUCAAGAGUAGGUGCAUCAUCCUUGACAGUGUAGUUUGUAUAAGCCCUCAAAGCCUCUGUUUUCUCCGCAACCUCUUCAAGAGUAUAUGCUGUGGAAAAUAUCAACGACUGUCAGUAAAAAAGAUAAGUCAAAAUCUCCUUGGCUGUAAAUCACAACGACAUUUCAUGCAGGCACCAGCUUGAUUCCCCAAACUUAAAAAAUGCCCUGGACCUAUUGACUUUUAUCAGGAAAGUUGUAUAAGUUUCUCAAAACUCAAAAUUCAUCUUUCUUGCAUACCCAAACAAUUAACAGGAAUCAGAUAUACCCAAAGAUUUGGAAACUUCGGAAAAUACUCCAAUCAACAAUACGGUAUGAUAAAAUACGGAAUAUUAGCCCAAUCAAGCAAUAAUUGAAUACUCGAAGCCUGAUAUCAUGACGUGACGGAGGAAAACAAAUAAACAACAAACAAGCUAAAGGUCUUGGUUUUAAACCUUUCUAACACGGAAAUGGUUCGCGAUACAGUUUCUUCCUUGUGUAAUAUAACAUAUACACUCAUACCACAAACUCCCGUUCUUGCCCUAUGAACCAAAUAUUCAACUAUUUACAUCCGCAAAAAACAUUUUCCAGAUUUAAAAAUAAGAUAGGAACCACAGCAAUAUGCAUUUUUAUCUUUUCCUUUCUUACCAACAAAACACCUCAAACAUAAGCCUUUUUUCUUUUUAUAACCUUAACUCAUUCUUCACAUUAUCUGCAAGGAGAAAACCAUAACAGCCCACGCUUCGUUGCAAACCCAUACCCCUCUUAAACUUGAUCUGGGGCCUACUGAUUUGCAUCGACCAAUUGUCGCACCCAUAUCAACACGUGUACGUCAAUUUACAUAAGCAAUAAACAAAAUAUGCAUAUUUUCUAUUUUUAUCAUGUGCAUGGGAGAAUGCAGUUUUUACCUGAGAACCGAAUUUUUACAUAGACAAUCGUCACCACAAUUUAGCAAACAACUCACCAUUCCUGCCUAAAAUCCCAUAAAACACGUCUACGUAUCCUAUGGCAGAUAAAUUUGUCGAAACGAAGAAAAAAAAAUGCAACUUGCUUCUUCUCGGAAUAAAGGCAUUCCAUCAAAUUCCGCAUGGUUAAUUAAAUUAUAGCAAAAUUAGGCAGAAGCGAACCAUAUGAGGCAUAGCCAGCAGUGGCAACGCCACCGGUGAUAGCGGCAAACAGGCCGAACUUCAUAAAACCCCAGGAUUUCUUCUCGGCAACCUCGGGGGGAGGAGGAGGCGGCGGCGGAGAGGAACCUGCGGGAGGCGGAUCGCGGUACAAAGAAGAUGCGGAAAUGAAUUCUGGAUCCCGAUGUGGCUCAUUAGCGUAACUUGAAUAAGAUACUCGACGACCGUUAGAUUUCGAAAUUAGUGAAAAAAUUCGCGAUCGAGUCCGAAUUACGGAGUACAUUGUUGAAGGAUAAAGAUUCGAUUAGGGUUUGAGGUUUAGCAUGGAAGAAGCGGGAGGACGACAGCAGGAAUUAGCGCAGGGUUUUGCGAGGGGGGUUUUCUUUUGUUCUUUUUUGGGAAAAAAAAAAUUAAAUAAAGGCAGUCCAGGGUUGCCGUAGAGAAUAAAAUGUUACUCGGAGUAAAAGUUCGGGGAUCAUUUUCACGGACGAAUAUGCCCAUGGAUCUUGGCUGACUUUGCCUUUCAUUGAGGGUGUAAAACGGUAAAAGCCUGCAAUAAUUGGCUUCAACGCCGCAGCGGUCAAAUGAGCUCUAAUUGGGUAAUUUCACUUCCACACAGGCAAAUUUCACAUUUUAUGAUCCUUUUUUCGUUAGUCAAAUUUUAUGUAUGAAAAAUUUUAAUUUUGGAAAAUGAUACUUACUUAAAUAAUACUGCUGGUAAACGUUCUUGGAGUUGACCAAUUCAUGUGAAACUAGCUCUUAUCCGGUCAAGCAAGUAUGAAAUACUUUAUUUGUUGUAGCAGUCUGCAGAAUUCGCAAAAUAUGCAAAAAGGCUAUUUGAAUGCAUUUUCAUUUAUUUAUAGUAAAGAAAACUACGGCAUAAAAGCCAAUUGCUCUCAUGAAUUUUUUCUUGGGUGCCAAGCAAUUCACUUUUCUUGGGUGGCAAGCAAGAAGCCAAUUACUCUCGUAGAUAUUUUCGAGCUUGUAUCGUUUGAAUUAUUAAUAUUACUCGAAGGUCCUACAAGCCUCUGACCAAUCAAUAGGCUCAAAGAUAUUACUUUGCAAGACAUACUUAAUUCUAUUGCCUUAAUUACCAGAUUUUUUUUAAGAAAAUAAUUAAUACAGCAAAUUCUUCAAUUUCUUUCGCCUGUUUAUGCACACGCCCAAUUCGAAGACAAUUGCAGCUUACAGAGGAAAGGAGGAAAAAAAAAUAUUAAAGUAGUUGCGGAGGGAAAUGGGUAGCAGCUGGUAGAGGAUUCUGAGCCCAUUGUGUAGCAUAUGUGUUUGGAUAGGAGAUUAUUUGUCCAAAUAUAUUUACUUACAUCAUCAUUAUAAUUUUUAAUACAUUUUUUUAUUUUUUUAAUUAUAUUUUUAUCUCAAGUACAUCAAAUCAUAAAAAGUGCUACAGUAAAAAUAUCUCAAAUAAUUCACAAUCCAAACACAUAGUUAUUGGACAAUCAACGGACGGGGAGGCGCAGAAGCAAGAUGAGGAGGUCGUGGCAGUAAUAGUAACGAUCUUGAACCUCAAGGGAGGUCAUCUGGUGCCGUGGGGACUGAGAAUAGGAGUCCUCCUAUUCUCUUGCUACGUUCGAAAUGCCAUUACACUGUCCGAGGUACAAGAAAGCAGACUACGAGAAGAUGGAGGAGUGGAAGGUGGACGCGCGUGCUUCUCAGAGAGAGAGAAUAUGGGCUCAAUCUCAAGGGAAGCCUGGAGGAGGAGAGGAAGUUUGGCAUGGGAACUUUCUUGUGGCCUGAUCAACUCUGAUGCUACUAGCUCAACUGCUCAAGCAUGGCAACAAAAUUAGGAAGUUCCUAUGGUAUUAAUUGCUAUGCACUUUGUAAAAUUAGGAGGUAUGGAAUGCUUGUUGUUAUUCACGUGCUUUAAGCAGUUGUACGAGCAUUUAAAGAUGGUUUGCAUGCGCAAGCUUAUCGUUCUUGUUAUGUAACAGGCUUUUUAGGUAAAAUUUAUCACUUGCAUUAGUACUAGAGGUGGCAAAAUGGGCGGGAUGGGCGGGAUUUGCUUGGGUUUGUGAUGGAAUCGGGUCAUAUGGGAUUGGGUCCAAUCUUACCCAUAUGUAUUUUGGGACUAAGUUGGGCGAGAUCACUUUGGGAUGGGUUUAGAUUGAUCCCGCCCAAUACCCAAAUCUAUUUUCUACAUAUUUUUUUCCUUUAAUUCAUUUUUAUUUUUUAUAUAAUUUUAAUAUUUUUGAUUUAUUAAAUUUUUUUAAAUUUUAUUAAAUAAACAUGCAAGUGCUUUAUACUCAGGAUUCCCAUCAAAAAUUGGAUUAACAAAUAAAGGAAAAAAUAGAUAUACAGUCAUAUUCCAACAUAUAUCAAGAUGGCCAAGGUACUUAAGGUAUUGAAUAUUUAUUCUCAUCAUUGUCCAAAGAUGACAGGUCUAAAUUGACUGAAAUGUUGAAAAUUCUUGUGGAUAAUGACUAGGAAAACUACUAGAUUAUAUUCUCUAGUAUGACUAUAAAAAUUGUUAAAGAUAAUUUUUAAUCUAAGACUCCGUUUGGAUUGGCUAUUUUUUCAAAAAAAUAAGUUUUUCAAAUACAAUGUUACAGUAAUAUACAAUAACUCAAAAAACAUCCCAUCCAUAUUAGUAUAUCAAAUAUUUCAAAAAAAUUUUAUAGUAAAAAUUUUUCAUAUACACUGCUAUAAUAAAAUAUUUCAAAAAUACCCCCCAAAAAUAGUUAAACCAAACAGAGCGCUUGUUAUUUGAGCCCAAUGGGUACCCAAGUAUUUCCCAAGUAUUCCCAUCAAUUAAUGGGUACAAUUGGGAUUUGUCCCAUUUUAAACCCAAUAUCAAAAUCCAAUACUCAUCCCGCCCAAAGUCCCCAUGGGCAUGGGUAACCCAUUGGGACUUGGGACAAAUUGCCACCUCUAAUUAGUACGAAAACAACUUUGUACAAGGAAUUCAAUACAUGGAAACUAUUAUAGUUAUGUUCCUUGUAAUUGUUACUCCCUCCGUCCCACUUUGAUAGUCUUGUUUUCCUUUUUCGUCUGUCCCAAAUUGUAGUCCACUUUUCCAUUAAGGAAUGUAGUAAACUUUCAAAUUGUCUAAAAUACCCUUAUUAAAUAUCUUGUUAUUAAUACAUUGUUAUUAAAUACUAACCCACUACAUUGAAUACAUUGAGCUUUUCCAAUGCAUAGAUAAAUGAAAAGUCUAUCUUAGCAUAAGGGUAUUUUAGGAAAUUAUUAAUCUAAAUUUAUGUUUCCAACCAAAUUAAUUACACUUUCUUAAUCUGUGUGGAAAAAAAACCAAGACUAACAAAACCGGACGGAGGGAGUAGAAUAUACCAAUGACCUAUUCUUUAUUUUUGAUUGUGACAACAUAGUGCAGUUUAGCUGGUAAAACGUUACAGCGGUAAAUGAAGCCAGUAUAAGUUGAUGCAGGUGGUAAGCGCGGAUUAUUUUUUUCACAAAAAAUCGUGUAUUUGAAUCUCAUUGUUUGAUGUGAGGGUUGUAUUGAUGGGCAAUUUGUAAGUAUGUCAUAAUUUGUGGUGGUGAUCGAAAUCAAAUUCACCCAAACAUUUCGCAUCAAUACACACACAAACACCUUUAAUCGACGAAUCACAAGUUUGAGUCAUAAGUGGAGAAUCACUAAUAAUUUUCUUACAAAAAAAAUAUUUGUCAAAAUUUAUUUACUUGUAUCAUCAAGACAUUUUUAAAUCAUUUUUUAAAUUUCAUAUACAUCACAUUAAAAAAAUGCUUUAGUAUUUUUUUUUUUUAAAAAAAUAUUUCAAAUAAUACAUUAUCCAAACACACUCAGUCUAUAUUUGAUUGUUAGUAGCCAAAUCACAAGCAUGCAUUUUAUAAGCCACUACUACUAAUUAAUUAGUAAUCACAAGUACACAUGAUCGUAUAAGAAAAAUUAAUUCUAAUACUAAACUAGUAGUUGGUAAGAAGUAACCAAAGAUAGGUGUUAGUAACUUCUAAAAAAAAAUGAACAAUUACUCAACUUCUAAUAACCAAAGAUCAAUUACUAGAACAUCGAAAAUUUACAAGGGCUUUGACUACUAUUAACCAAAAGUAAAUUCCUAUUAGUGACUUUAAAAAAUUACUAUUAAUAUGGCUGGUAGAAACCAAGUAUAAGUUACUGGUAAGCUCAAGUAAAUUAUUAGUCAAUUAGCUAUUAGUAACCCAAAAAAAAAAAUUAAGCAUAGAAAUGUAAAAUUACGUUCAACUUGGUUGCAAGGACAGAUCAGUUACUAGUAAUUUGUACAACUCAUUCACACAGACACACCACUCAUAGCAGGAAAAGUAGUUACUCAGCUAUUGUAAUCACCGCCGCCCGGGAGAAGUGAAUAAGAAAUUUUGGUGCGUGCGUGUGUGUGUACCAUUGGGAUCAAAGGCUUAAUUAAUCAAAUUGCCAAUUCCCGGUAACAAUGAGUUAGGCCAACUAUUAUUCACCUAAAAUCAUGAACUCAUGAUAUAGUGUGUAAAUAUCUAUUUAGAUUGAAAAGGUGUCAAUUUGAGGUCCAAAAGUUGCACACACUACCAAGAUUUUUUUUUUUUGGUUGCCUGCCCGGUAUCCGAAGUUUUGCCCCGACUAAUUCGGACCCGACCCGCGUCGCGCACCUGACUAUGGUGGGUGAGUCUCCCAACAGGAGUGUCUGCGUACACUAGGACUCGAACACGAGACCUGCUUAAGCGAAUCCGAGCCGCUUACCACUCGGACCAACCCCUGUUGGUACACACUACCAAGAUUAGCCAUCUACCCCCGACAUAUUUGUUGGUUGUGCCCAAAAUUCGAGUUGCUAAUUGCUAUUAUUUAUGGCAGUUGCAAGUUGCAAGUUUGUGGAAUGCUUUUGCCUGUGGAAAACGAUCCACCCCGUGGCAAGAUAUAAGAAGUUAAACCGUACGUCCAAGAAGAAGACAGCCAAACAAUAGAAAAAAGGUAGGAUCCCUCAUUUUAGUGCUUGUAUUUUGGGAGAAAAAUUGGUGAUCAAUAAUCAGGAAGAUGCAUUUAACUGGUUCUUUUUGCAUUACUGAAGGACUAAUUUUUCACCAUUUAUAACCUUCUCGAGUCCUGCUGCCUACUAGAUACUAUCUAGUAGUGAUGGUCGAAACAAACUACGACCGAUAUCAUGUUCCUAGAAACUUGAGGGCAGUUGAUUUCAUUUUUCAGGUGGACUAAUCUACUAGUUAAUCUUAAUAGUCUCCCUCUCUUGUUUUUUUUUUUUUUUUUUUUUGAGCCUCGUAUACUUCAACUCAUUUGUAUCACUCCAGCUUAAAUACACGUAUUAUUGCCCCAAAGGCACCAUCAAUUCAUCACCAUCCCAACGUUUCUAGACAGUGAAGUAGCUAGGUGGGCAGAAUUCGUCCAUCAAGGGGGAGCUGAAAUGCAGUCAACUUCAGAUUUGAUAAACAUGAGGAGGAUCGCUCUUACCUUACAACUCGGUUGAAGGAGGACAGCUACACACUUGAAGAAGAGGAUAUUCAAGUAAAAUGCCCACAUGGAUUACCCCUUCCACAUGGCAACAGGCAAUCUUAAACCAUCCACACACUUCUCUUUGGGGGUAGUUGGAUCCCCUUAAUUAAUUAGUAGUACUAGCAAUUUUAAACCCUACUAGUAUCCAGAAAAUUACAGGUCCUCCCCAUUCAUUUUCCUAUCCUUAUCCAAGGCUAUUUUUGUCAAAUCAAAUUGCACAGAACGACAUGACCGCAGAUACACAUAUAGUAACGCCUAUAAAAGGGAGAAGCCCAUCUCCUAUCAAAUUAAAAACUUCAACUUCUCUACCUCCUUCUCAAUCAAGAAACUAGAGCCAACGUUUGUUUUCUCUCUAGAGAUUGUCAUCGUAUUAAGGAGGAGUACAACCUCUUGCAUUUAGAUGAGGAAAUGGAGUAUUAUAACUUGGAGAGUUUAACUCAUCAUCAACCAAUCACCCCUCGGACUCUAAGGACCGUCACCCAGUUUUUACUCUCAAUUUCGGUAUUUACCUUCAUCUACUGUUCCCACCGCUCAUCAUGGUGCUGUUUCAUGCUAAAUUCUAUGAAGUACUACUUAUCAGCUAUCUCCUUUCACGGCUUGGACAAAAGCUGGAUAUUCCUCAUAUGCAAUGGGAUCUUAAUGGCCGUAGCAACCACCUCUGCGGGCUUGGUUUCUUCUCCAUCUAAGGGGUUUGACAUGGAUGACAUGGCAGAGAAUCAUGUUAUUGCAGAUGGGCCGCGUACACCUGAGGAGUCGAAGGAGGACGUAGAGUGGUUGGCAGAGCCAAUUCCAAAUGCAGUUCUUCAAGUAGAAGAAAUGGAAAAUGAUGAAGAAACUCUGAAAGUAGAGGACCAAGGGAACCAAGAUGAUCCCCUCUUUGAAGAAGAGCGGGGAGGAGAUCACUUAAUCGUGAUCGAUGAAGAUCAUGAAGAACAAGAGCUGGAAGGCGGAGCACCCUUAAAGCAGCCGGAAGAGCCGGGAGAAAGUACUGAAGCCGAAGCUGAAGAAAUUAGAACCUACUAUAUCCUGGAAGAAACGCACCGUCAGGAGAAUGAAGAAAAUUUGGAGGCUGGUGGAUUUCACUUGGGAGAAGAAGUGCAGGUGGAAGAAGAGGAGGAAGAGCAGGAAGAAAAACGCGGACUGGAGAAGCUGAGCACAGAAGAGUUAAACAAGAAGUUCGACGAUUUCAUCAGGAAAAUGAAGGAAGAACUCAGGAUUGAAGCUCAACAGCAGCUGGUGGUGGUGAAGUAAUCAUGAUGACAGUAACAGUAUACAGUAACAUCUACUAUCAUAUAAUUAGUUAUCAAAAAAUUUUCCAUUUUUCCUUCUCCUUUGUAAAUCGUUGUGUGCCCUUAUGCAUGUUAAUUACAUAAUAAUUAUUUCAGCAGCAAUAGCAGGUCUUCAUCCUGUAGACAUGGUUUCAGUCUUAUUGUUCAUGACUUAGAUGAAAUUAGUUAGUCUGUGCAUGGUAUGUGCAAUUCCUUAGUUGGUCAAUUCCAUGUUAUUGCGAGGUAGAUUAGCCUGAUGUUACUGUCAAGUCUGUGUUCUUGCACAACGUUGUUUAGUGGGGAUUGGGGAGUGUGAAUACGUUAUCAAAAAGAUUUUGUUACGAAAUCUGAUUAAAAACUUGGAAAAAUUUCAUGGGAAAUCUCCAAGUUGUCCUCAGAGAUUGUAUAUCGUACAGUUCCUUUCCUUGUAAGCACCGCAAACCAAUCCCUACGAACCAAGUAUCCAGAAACUUAAUUUUCAUAAUAAUUGGGACGUACUUUCUACAUGAAAGUCAAUCAUUAUCGAUAAGCGGUGUAUAUCUCUCUCUGCAGCUUCUCAAAGGUCAAAGCUCAAUCCCUGCUUCUUGUUACUAGAAAUCCUUGAACACCGAGAAUAAACCGAGUUUUUCUGAUCCUAACCUAUCAGAUAAUUUCCCUGUUUCAAAUCUCGCUUCUAACUUUUUUACGCACACCUGGGCGGAUAAUUGCUCAGUACUCUAAUAGACAGCAACCUUCAAAAUUCUGCCGAUAAAUCUUUCAAUGCCUAACUCGAGAGAAUAUUUGAAUUGGGAUUGUUUAUCAUUGUUAAAUAACAAGCUGUAUAUUAUGCCAGAGAAGAGAACUGAAUACUUGCUUUAGUUUCUGAUCAACGUCACUUAGCGGCGAGCAAUUAUGGAAAAAGGAUUCUGGAGGAGGAGUUGAUGAUUGGUAUGAUGUGGCGACCGGAGACACAUACGACCACAUGAAAACAAAAAACAUAUAUACAGGUUGAAAUAAUUAACAUUAGUGGGUCUGAUUGAGUUCUAAAGCGAAAUGAUGGAUGUUAAAUAAUUUUGUCUAGCGUUAAUCACAGAUACAGCGGAUCGAUCGUACUUGAAGUUUGGACACCUGGAAUUUUUGCACAGUCACCAGCCUUCACCUGACGUGCUUCUUUUAAACAAGUCAAAGAAUAUAUCAUCGAUUAAAGCUCCCCUUCUUUUUUUUUCUUUCUUUUUUUUGGUCGGCUUGCAAUGCAUCUCACAAAGUUUUCGUUUGGGAAUCCUCAAUCAAAAAGGUUAUUCGCGGGGAAUCUUUAGCCUGCUUUUUUUUUUUUAGCUUAACGGCACAUGUAACCUAGUCUAGCCUACUCCUACUCCUAAGGGGAGGGGAAACCUACUCUAUGGGGUGGCCCAACUGAGCCGGGGGGAACCUGAUGGGGACUGAACCACCAUCAGACCAGACGGGUACACCACACACCCGUAUGGAUUUAGAACAAACCUCAUAUUGAGGGACAUUGAUGGGAGGCAAGGUUUGAACCCUUGACCUCCCACCCCACAAUUAAUGUGGUGGCAUGCUUCAGUGGGAUCAACUUUUUUUUUUUUUUUUUUUGGUAUUUUAACUUGUAGUGUAAUUUUCAGCAACCACAAAUACACAAUAUAUGGGGGGAAAUGAAAUACUGGAAAAGAAAAACCAACCCAAAAAGGGAAAUCAUUUCAGAAAUUCAAUUGCUAGCUGUUUGAGAUUUAAAAUACAGUAGUAUCAUUUAUAUACACAAGUCAAUCUCUUGGAUUGUUUUACUAGUACUAGCUAGUAUUUUAAUCCAAUGCCAAAAAAGAAAGAAAUUAAGAAAUGAUCACCAGCUGUUAUCCAACAAGACAGAUCAAAUAUCAAGUUACAGGAAAUGCAUGUCAGAUGAACAGUGCGCGUACGCAUAUUCACAAAAACAAGAAGCAAUUGUAGUAGAUAUCAUGAAGGAACCGAUGAUGAUCAUCGCCAUUCAGUUUUGCUGAUAGGAUUUAUUAGCGUCUGUCCCCUCCUAGAAUCCAUACGUAACAAAACAGAACAGCGUACUUUCGAAGACUGUGUUGCAACCAAGGACAUGAAUCAUGAUAAGCUUGAUCUCGGUGACUGAAAGAGACUUGCAAUAUAUAAUUGCACAGGUGGCCAAACAAUUCACGGCGAAAAGACACGUGUGGCCGUGAUCCAAUGGCCAUCAUUUUCAAAACCCCCCCCUCUGCAUAGAUUUCAAUCAUAGAGAGGUUCCAUCCCAUUGAUUGGGAAGGGGAUCCCUUUUUCUCGUGCCAAAUUUGGUCAAUCUCUCAAGGUCCGAAUAAAAAGUUUUCAUUUAUAACCUCGACCCCAGAAGAAGGAAAGGUGUGCAAGAUCUAGAAAGACCUCCCCGAAUUGGCGGACAUUCAAAAGAGACGUACUCUGCAUUCGCAAACCUCAUUUGAUUGCAAGUUGAAACUAAAAUGUACGACCCACAAAAUGGUCAUAAAAUGGAUGUCCAUUUUUUGCUUUUAUGUAUGGCACUGAUUUUUACCCCCGGCUGCCAGAUACGUGGGGUGAAUUAGAUGCUAAUGGCGGGAGCACUACCGAGUUUAUCUCAAAAAAAAAACAUCGAGUACUUAUGAGAUGUUUUAACACUAAGAACCGUAAUUGAACUCGACAACUAAUGGUGAAAUUUUGUGCCACCUAACAUGGAAGGAAGGUGACGACGUUUCUUAAUUACCACAUGAACUUGGCAAUGAUUGAGUACGACAGGGUUCUCAUUUGACUCUGAUAAACAUACAUGCAUGUAAAUUCUAGAUUUUGAAGCAUCCAUUUUUUUUUGUAUUGGUGAAACUGUCUUGGAAGGAAACAAAAUUGAGUUCCUUAUUUUUCAAAAUCCAGGCGGACGUCCUGGAUAAGAAGCUUGAUGAUUCAAGUGCGUCGAGAGCUGGCUAAAGUGCUCGUAAAUGCAAUGAUUCCUGGUUGAAUGGAAGCUGACCACUUUUCGAAACCAUAAUUAACCUGAUCUGGUUAAACAAUGAAUUGGCUAAGAUCGAUGUUUUUAGCCAAUUCUGGAUUUAAAGCUCAACAGGUACAUGGCGUCUCCGUAUUCGACUAGAUAACUACCGUUCCCAGAACGUCCAUCGAUUCGGAUUACUACGACAAAUUGGCAUUUGGCAGUGAUCAGCAAAGCUUUAUGGAAUUCUGGCACAGUACAUUUUACGCUAGCUGGUACCGUGCAUUAUACAGCCUUCACUCGCCAUGUCUCAGAGAGGAAUUUUUUUUUUUUUUUUUUUUAAUUCUAUUUUGGACAGCAAAUCAUUUCCAUCGAAAAAUAUCAAAAUCAAGCUUGUUUGAUGAAAAAGAAAUAAAGUUAAAAUAAAAUACCGCAUUCAGAGGAGGAGAAUUAGUGAAGAUUGAAAUGGAGUGCUUUGAACCAGAUAUUCAAAUUAGUUUCCCUCAACUAGAGGGAGCUGACAAGUUCGUGGUCAAGAGAUUUAUGUGAAUGAGAAUCCUUGAGCGCUUCAGCCUCCUCUAUUGAGUAUUGGCUUCACAAAAUGAAGCGUACUCGAGCAUUUAUUACACAAUUCUCCUCAACCAAUUACUACCACUCCUUGACUGCUGAUCAGACCACUCAUAUUCUUUUUGAGCUAUAGAAAUGCUGCAAAUCUUGGUCUGGGGUUGAAACUUGAAACUGAAAGAGGCACCAGAAAUCCAUCAACAGCAACCCCCAAAGCAAGUUGUUUCAGCCUUUUAAUUAAGUCCAGUAACUCUCUAGUUGAUGCAUCAUUUUCCAUCCUUAGGUUGCCUCGAGAGACGGACGUUGAAGCACAACCAGUCAUCGCACUUGAGUAACUAAACUAAACGACUGACAAGCCUGUUACCCAAGUACCGUAUGCAUUUAGUAUAGGAUCUUGUUGUGGUGGCUAUUGAUGCGAAAGAAGCGCCAACCAAACAAAGAUCGAAAAAUGUCGAAAUUACAAAACCUAAACCUCUAAACAAAGGCAUUAAAAUAUACUAACAGAAACUUUCCUCCCCUAAACGAGAGCAGAUCCUCUGUCCAAUAUUUUGUGUUCAAUUUCCUGUCUAAUGUGAAACCACGUAGUUUCACUUAUUAUAUCUGCUGAUGUGGCAACUAAAAAUAGGUGGCUGUUUGAUUACCUUAUAAUUCUUUUUAUUUUUUCUUUUUUGGGUUUCCUUUAUUUACACAACUUUGUUACAAUUCUCAUCUUUUUUAAACUUUGUGAAAUCCUUAAUACUUUGUUUUUAAACUUUGUGAAAUCCUUAAAGGAUCUUUAGAUUGUUGCUUCAAACUUUCAUGUGAAACUACAUUUCUUAAAUUUUUCUUGCGAUUUCAUGGUUGAAUCUAUAAAUGUUCUAUUAAAAUAAGGUCUUUUUAAAAAAAAAAAAAAAAAAAAAAACUAGAGAGGAGAAGAGAGGAGAGGAGAAAGGAGUUUUGAGCUUGUAUAAUUGUUCCUUAAACUGCCUUCUAGAUUAGCAAGUUAUUUCACAACCCUCUUAGAAAUUGAAAUGGAGUGUUUUGAAACCAGACAGACAAAUUCCCGUGGAUGAGAGGGAGCUGACAAGUUCGCGGCGGCUAUGAGAUUUAUAUGUGCAUGAGAAUUAAUAGAUAGCCUCUAUCUACUGGAUCCACAGAAUGAAGUGUCAGGCAUUUAUUUAUUAGAAUGAAGUGUCAUCAAACAAUUAUUUAGUUUUAACCGCUAAGACCACUCAAUGACUUGUGGAAAUCUUUUGGUUUACGGCUGAAGUUGACAGAUACACCAGAAAUUGGUCAACAGCAACGCCAAAGCAAGCAAGUUGUUUUCACCUUUCAAAUUGUAAUAAAAGUAAAUCUAUAGAGGGACAUUCCCAUUCGCUUGGGCUUCCAAGCGAAGGCCCGCACCCACGAUUCCCAGUAGUAAGUCGUCGGCAGUAACCCAAACUCAAGGAAGUAAAAGGGCAGAAUAAACAGUAAAUUGGCUCACAAGUCCGUCACCCAACGCAACUAUAGGAAACAUCUUGUAGUACGAGCUUCUUGCAGUAGGGCAUUGCAUUGCUGCAAUAGAGGCGGCACAAAAAACCAAUAAACAAAUAAAGGUAGCGAAAUUGGUAAACACAACUACGUACUAAAGGAUAGAUAAAAACUUUCCUCCCCCAAAUAUUAAUUAUAGAUUAAAGUUUUUGUACCUAUAUCACUCAUAUAAUUAAACUAGCUAAUAAUAGCCAAAAAAAAAAACUAAUAAAAACAGAGCCCAUCCGAAAUUUUGCAAAAGCUCGUGAACGGGCAAACAAAACAACAUGAAACUUCAAAUUCUAGGCAGGCAAUGGUGAUAGAGAAGGGGAGGAAUGUAGACACUAGCUAGUUUCGUUUCUUUCUGCAGAAGAAACCAAGAGGCUGGAUCAAGCUAAGCCAUGCAGCCCUUCACAUUUCACAUGAUGGAGCAGCAGUUGAUUCGCUCAUCGUCAUAAGGAUCAUAUCCUCGCCGAGGAUAUGAUGGCACAUGCCUUGGCUGCGGCAGCGCUCCGCCACCUGCGGUGUGGCUGUACGAAUUAGGAUAGUACUGCUCGUGCCCAUAACAACUAGUAUGAUCAGGCAACGACCUCCCAUACCCAUGCCCAUAGCCGCCGCCACAAGGGUUGUUCUCCAGAAGUGCAUCAUAAUUAUAGCCGUGGCGACGCCUACAUGAAGCAUCUUCGUUUAUCUGUGGAUGCUUGAUGUCCAUACGAACCAGCUCUGCAUGUCUCCCGGAUGUUCCUAUUGCCCUCAGAAGCAUGUUUGGAUCAACUUCGCCGUAAAUCUUUGCUAGCCCUUCCUCACCAUCUAUGGCGACAGAAUACACCCCUGCAACAUGAUUUUUGUUUUUUUUUUUUUAAAGAAUAUUUGCAUAUUGGAUUGUGACGCUAGCUAUAUAGUAACUGGGAAUUACCAACUAUAGAGCCGAGGAUUUCCAUUGUCUUCAUCUUGCAUCCUUCACAAUGAAGGUUCACUUUCAAAACACAAGCCUAAAUAUACAAAUGGAGGAUCAGAAUAUGAAUGCUUUUUGGGAUGAAUGGUACAGAUCUAGCUAGAUGAGCAACAUUAUGAAAGAUAAAACCAGAAUGGUCAUUUAUCUUUGUCAUCCUCUACCUUACCACAAAACUAAAGUUCUGCGGAUGCCAGAUUAAAAAAAAAAAAAAAGGGGUAUCGUUAAUCAUGCCAAAAAACAAAUAGAAUCACCAUGCAGGGCAUUAACGACAGAACUGUGAAAGCUUUCGAUAUGAAAGGAAACUAUGUAAAGAAUAUCACUGCAGCGUCAAAAACAAAUAGAAUCACCAUGCAUGCAUCAAAUAGAAUUGUUAUAUCGAUUCUGGACAUCGAACUCACGUACAACUUUAUGAAUGUAUUGAGCCUUCAUGAGAAACAGGUUAUUGGACAAGAAUAAGAUUGAGUAGGAAAACUUUAAAAAAAGAACAUAAUCGAACUUAAACAUGGUUAGGUUGCAGGCAGUUCAUAUACAUAACUCCUUUUAGCCAAAUGUAAAAUUUGUAUACAAACCCAUCUGUAGAUUCAUGGACUGGCUUCAUCAUCUUAACACCACACUACACAGACUUCCCGUCGUUUAAUUAUUUUCCGCAGAAUAGUUUGUGGAAGAUUUCCCACCAACCAAAGGCAAUCAAUCAUAAACACACAAAUAUCCGGUGAGCCAUUAAUUAUUGAAAUUUAUAUUAACUUCAAGAUCUGGACAAAUAUAUAUUUCUUUAACAAGCUAGGGGGGAUAAAAAAAAAAAAUUUUUAUCGUUUCAAAUCGUACGUAGUAGAUUAUUAUAUAUAACAUAUCAGAAGCUUAAUACUGUAUAUUAAUAUGAUAUAGGAGUAAAGAGGAAUCUGAAACAAAAGGGAUUACCGCAUCAGCAUGAAGUGCCAUCGAAAUCAAGGGUUUUGAAACUUCUUCUCCCUCGCUGCCCAAAUACGUACUCUAACAAUAAUACUAUCAAGAGGUGAAUGCUAAACUGAUUAUUUUGUAAGAAAUAAAAAGAUGGAGAGAAUGGUAUUUAUAGAUUUGAAGUUAGCCUUCCUUGUGAUCGCCAUUAAAUAUAGUAAGAAACCUACCAUUAUCUAUACCUAAAUAAAAACUUUCCAUGCAUGUGAACGUUCUAUGCUCGCUUCAUUUGAAAGUCGAAACCCCAUAGUAGUUCUUCUGGUUUAUUAUGUAUAGUAGGAGAUCAAUCAAUUGAUUCUACUUUCCAUAUCUUAGAUACUCUACUUCUCUUUAAUUUUCUGUUCCAAAUUAAAUGGGAACAUUUUGCUUCCACGACAGAAGAUCUCGUCAAUCAUCCAAAAUUCUAGGCACCCCAAAUCACCAAUUACAAGGUCGGUGGUAUAUUUGCAUAUCUUCCCCCCCUUUUUUUUUUCAAUCAACAGAGGAAAAAACUGUCGGUGCCUCCAAAAUCGGUUUAAGCAUUAAAUGUCGGCGACCGGAUUGCAAAAAUUAGGCUAAGCUUUAGUUACUAGCAAAAGAUCUGGGAUAAAUAAUUUCUUUUAAUGCAUUGCAUGUAAAACGGAAUGGCAUGAAUUAAGUCGCACCAUUGCCAUUGGUAAGUAAAGUGCAAGACGAUCUGGACGUAAACAAAGGUAAAUACCACCCCCAAAAGUUCUGUUGAGAAAAAAAAAAAAAAAAAAAAAAACCGGAAGGGUUAAUAAUAUAAUUUGCAUCCACGGUGAAUCGUUAAUAAAAUAAAAUAAAAAACACAGGUAGAUUUAACCAUACUGUAAAACAUCAGAAGAAAUGACAAAAUACUAAUCUUGCAUGAAUUAAUAUAGCGUCGAUCAGUUUGUACUCAGUCUCAUUAGCUAACCAUCAAGCCAAGUUACAAGAAAUAUCUCAUAAGCUCAAAACCACAUUAAGUCGGCGUUACAGUGGAAUCAUGCGUUGAGUUGACAGAUAACUAUUUAAAGUAAUAUUUCACUUAAAUAUGGGAAUUCUCGAAAUUUGAUUUAAUCACGAAUACUAUGCAUCCCAUUGAUCACAAAAUGAAUAUUUUGGAUUUGGUGCAAUUUUUUUUUCAAAAAUUCAUAGUAUCAAAAUUCUUUGUGACCAAUGAUGAAUUCCCUUUUUUUUUUUUUUUUGGUUGGCUGAAAAACAGAAGUAUUAAUAAGUCAAAGUAAAUGGAAGAAAAUGGUGGGUAUUGAUAGCCGUCAAAGCCAGAGUACGUAUAACUCUACAUGGAGAGUCACACCCUCGAUGAAUGAUUUACUGCGCUUUAAGAAUCACAGCCUCGAUGGGUAUUGCAUGUAAGAAUCGAGUCGUUGCAGACACUGCAACCAUUAAUGUGAAUCAAAUUUAAGGAUGAGGCUACUUUUUGUAACAAUCGCUACAACAAUGAUUCUACUACCAAUUGUGGCUCAAUAUAUAAUAUCGCCCGUCAUUCAUACGAGUAUCUAAAAGUAUAAGCUCAAUCCUUUUGUCUAGCUGUCUGCAUAAUUUCUUUCACUUUUGUUGCCGUGUUAUUAGUGUUCCCUUGUUAUUUAGACAAACAAUUUGUUAGUUCAACUUGAGAGUUGGCAUACUGAAAUUAGUCCCCAAAGAGAGAGAGAGAGAGAGACAAGCUUGGAAGAAAUGAGAUCAAAACACUCCACAGUUAUGAGCAAACCACGUACCAAUAGUUUUAAUUAAGAACAAAAACACUCGCCUUUGCAUGAUGUCUUUAUUACUAGUAGCAUAUAUAAUAAGACCUCCUGAAAAGGCCGAACCAAACAAGUUACAAACUCAUACUAAUUGUUCGAACUCCAAUAACAGAAACCCAAACAAACACGAAAUUUAACUACGUAGACAAAUAGUAGCAUAUAUUUGUAGAAGACAUAGCAAGAAGCCAGCCGUUGACAAUGCAAUCAACCGUUGAGGAGAUCACCACAUGCCAAAGCACUUGAAGGACCCCUUGCGGUGUCGCCGAGGCAGCUCCGGCAUGUACGUAGGUGGUGGAAUCAGCCCUAUAGGGCGGUGGAGCCGGUACACCCUCCUAUGCGGGUAUGCAGCUGUAGGAUGUAUUCUUCCGUAAGUGUAGCCGUAACAGGGAUACCCGUAACUGUAGCCGGGGCCAGAAUUACGUGAACCAUCGCUGUUGAUUUCUGGAUGCUUGACAUUGGCAUGAACCAGCCGUCCAUGCCUGUUGUUGAAUGAUGUUAUGGCACUCAUGAAUUCUGCAGGCUCAACUUCACCAUAAAAGCAAGCUAUCCCUUCAUUGGGAUCUAUCCUGACCGAAUAGACUCCUAAAACACAAAUUAAUCAAGAACAAAAAAUUAAUUGCAAUGAGGAGAAAGCGAAAUCAAAGAGCACUGAUGGAGUGAGUGGAUUAAUUGUUAGGAGUACAUACCGACUACAGAGCUGAAGACUUCAUGAGCCUUCAUCUUGCAUGCCUCACAGCGGAUGUUAAUUCUCAUCAGACAAUUCUACACAAAUGCAACAAUCAAAGACAAAAUAUUCAAGAUUUUGGUUUUUACAAAUAACGUAGGGAUAAGUCUUUAUCCUCACAUGUAAAGGUAAAACCAGAACUGGAAGAUUAAGAAUAAUAGUAUUUUAAAACGCUAAACAUGGGAGCUCCAUCAAAUGAAAGAGUGGAGUCAAUGUAAACUAAAAUCUACACGCAAGGAAUUAUUAAUCUGUAGAAUCAAAGAUUGUCGAUCUUUUUAUCAAACAAAAAAAUGAAUUUUUUUUUAUAAUUAACUAUUCAAGUCAUCACACAUCCUGCACCAACGACUAUUAACGAUAAACCCAAAAUUUAGAGUGAAUGAAUAUGAAAUAUAUCUGCUUAUAACGAAGACAUUAUUGUUAUCUAGACAAAGGCCACUGUUUUAGGGGGACAUAAUUUUGCGUUACAGAACCAAUAGAGAAAGCAUAAUAAUCAACACAUAUGCAUCAAGAAAACUGAAACAGGCUUGAACGAAAAGCAAAAAAAUAAAUCUUGGUUUACCGCUUCUGCGUGCGACGCCAUCAGAACUUGCCCUCGCGUUCUCCAAUUGCCUCAAAAACAGGGUGAAUGCUAGUAUCUAGCUUCGUGAAAAAGAAGUAUGAAUGUAAUGGUAUUUAUAGAUACGGUUUAGCCUUCUUGGAAUGAAAUUUAGGAAAAAUUCCAUUAUCAUAUAUUAAAGAUACACUCAAUAUAUUAUUCGCUACCUAAAUUAAAGACUUUCCAUGUAUAUCCGAUUCAUUGCACUCAAAAACCCUAGUAAUUUCUGCCAACAAUGUUGGAGAAAAUUUCCUUUCCAUGUUUUGGCGUUUUCUUUCACUCGUUUUUGGACAUUCUUUUUUCUUGCAUGCACCGAGUUUAUUCCUUACAAGUUGAAGAUCUCGCAAUCGUCAUAAAUUCUGAUCGUAUAGUAGUAUGAGAGGUUACAAUGAGGGGCAAAAUAAGACGCGUCUUUUUUUUCUUUUUUUUUUUUGGCGAGGGAAUUUAAAUGAGGCAAAGAAGAGCAUUCCGUUUCUUUCGAAGGAAGAUAAAAAUCUGCAUCUCUCCAAUUAUCCCAUCAGAUUAAGAGAAGCAUUUGUUUACCAUCCUUCCCACCGACUUCCUUUACAUUAUACUCUUCAGUAUUUUUGUUAGCAAAUGAUAUCCGUGAAAUCAAACGUGCUUUGAACGAGAAAAAAUUGAAAAAAAGAAGAAGAUGAUGAUGAUGAUGAUGAACAUAUUUAACUGUAACUUUAAUUCUGGACUUGCAGAUAAUUAGCAAAACUUUAAUCUGGAGAGGAUUAUAUCGGAUUCAUUAGAAACUGUCUCUUAUCUUAUGAGGGGACUUGGGAAAACAUUUACCAACUUAUGAUCGUGCUAUAAUGACUACAUUGAAGAUUUGCUGGAAACAAUGAAAAUUUAAUAUAUAUAGAUUGGGUGUCCGGAGCUUGAGAGCAAAAUAGUUCCACACAACAGGCCCGAUCAGUGUAUUUAUAAACUUCUUAGCAUUCAUGCAUAGAGGUACUGAUCCUAAGAAUAUUAACCUGACCAGCGGUCAAUGUACAAUCUAUCAGGGAAAAAAAAAUAAAAGGGGCCAGUGUACAAUCUAUCAAUCAAAAAGGAGGUCCUCUCGUGUUCCAAAUAACGAACUAUUUUAGAUGUAGACUCCUCCUUGGAUCUUGGAUGGAAGAUACUCCUCAGACAAGAAUGAAAGUGACUGCACCGAUAAUGCUUCUAUCUCACAUUUGAGUCCUCGAGAAAGGAGCAAGUCCAGUUCAAACCUUUUUUGAAAAAAAAUGACCAAAUUGUCAGCGUUGAACGAGAGAAAUAGAACCAAUGAGACAAAGACACAGAAUUCAACCUCCACUGAGGUGCUUCGCGUCGCAAGUAACACCUUAGUAACAUUGCUUCAACUCUAGUCUUAUCUGACAAGGAAUUCCGGACUUUUAUGAGAUGUAUUAUGAAGUACGCCCAAUUCAAGUUGUCGAAUCCGCCAUACACACUAAAAAACAAAAGCAAGAAAAGAAUAGAAAGGGAACGAGUAAGAGGCUAUCCUUGAGCAUGCAUCUUACCUUCUCUAGUUAAAGGUAGCAGACACUGUUGAGGAAGGCAAUACUUCUCAACUUCGGAUGGAAAAACACCAAGCCACCUUAUCUCUGGAACGCAUAGAAAUUUUGCAUCAUAGGCCAUUUGCUUCAAAAUCGAGAGAAAGAUAUCAGUCAAUGAACCAGGUAAUCAGGCUUCUAUUUUAUAGCAGAAUUGCAGGUUCCCAUCUCCAUCACACGUACAUAAGAAUUUGAUUAUGCUAGCACGCGGUCAAUAUGUAUUGAGAGUGAAAAAUACUUCAGUUAUGAGAUCUCACCAUAGAACCAAAUCUGUAAGUUGUCAAGAUAUCAAUGCCAUAAGGAUCACAAUCUACCAAACAAUAGGCGGGCAGAUGCAGCUUUUCAAUAAGGAGGCGCAAAAAUCUGGUUGAAAGGCAAAGCAAUAGCUACUGUUAAGAUGGCCAACCAGAAUCUUGUAGGUCAUAUGUUGCAUAUCUCAACAGCAAUCGGAACAAUAGCCUUUACCUUCUCGUUGGCACAUCAGGAUAGCCUCUUCCCUAACAAGCAGACGUCAAAUUAUAUAAUUGUGCAAUGAAAUUCAACCAGAAGAAAACUAACUGUGAUGAAAAUGUAACUCUUUCUUUGUGCAACAAGGAUCAUUCACUAGUUCUGGAAUACUAAACUCACUGUGACCACAAUGCAACGGUUUCUUGUGCAAAAAGAAUCAUUCGCUAAUCUCUGGAAUACUGAAGGGUAUAUGAAGAACAAAAAUGGUUAAAAAUAAGAAUCUAAAUUAUCAUGAUGAUAAUGAGCACCAGUUUGCUAAGAAAAAAUCAUAUACCUGAUUCUUUCUCGACAACUAAUAUAUACCGAGCAACACCAAUUAUAUCUACUUGCAACUAUUAAGGAUCACAAGAUUCCAUUUUGCUUAUAUUGACCUUUGCUAGCAAACUAAAUCUAAUAGCAGACCACUAUAGCAUGCUAGGAUAAACUUUGAUUCAGCCAAUUUGCAUGUUAAGUAUGUCCUUGUUGAAGGAAGAGACCGAAUGCUCUAAGCUAUUGGACCGAAUUGUAGUAUCAAAGAAAGGCUAUAUCCAUUUCUUUGUCAACCGGAUACUUUCGACAUCUUCCACGUGAACAGGCACAGGAUAAGCCUGCACAACAACCAGAAAAUAGCCAUAACUUUCAUCCCAGCUUCAUCUGAAAAUUUCAACGUGAACAUUUAUUCUCAUCUUUACCGUGUUAGGAUUGUUGAUGCAAUCAAAUUUCCUCCCAGCUUCUGAAAAUUUGAGCCAACCCAUAACCAUUCUACAUCAGAAGAAUAUGUGAUGUAAAUUAGGGCCACAACUGUCAUAAUAUCAAUUGAAGUCGGUAUAAAAAAUCAGAAGAAAAUUUCAGCAUAUAAAAGUGAUUGGUAGUUUUGCAAUACAGUAAAAUCACAUCUUGCUGACAAAAUAUGGUAAUGCCACGUUGAGGAUAACUACAGAAAAUGUCUUUUUUGGUUAGAGACAAAAAAAAAAAAACUUCAGCUCAGAUGCACCGGAUAUCAGUAUCAUAACAGGGUACUCUUAUUAGGCAAAAGUAAUAAUCAUAAGGGCUGCAGUUUUCAUGAAACUAACAAGCAUGAAGUUGAGAGAGAUAGCCAACAGAAGCCAUGUCAGAUUUCAAGUACUAGUAAGACAAUCCACUUGCGGAAGAGACAUGUGUCACAUUGACCACAUCAUUUCUACAUGUCAUGCUUGAAACAUAGUUCCAGUGAUUUUGAUAUGGAAAUUUACUUUUGCCAUAUUCAGAAGAAGUUACCAACCCAUUUCCAACAGAUACCUGCACAAGAGAAUCACAGAUGCAUUACUUUCGUGGUCAUAAGUUUCUGAAUAGUCGGGCAAUCUUUUGAAGGAGUUUGAAUUAUUCAAAAUGAUAGCAGUGAAGUCACAUGCAUUAUCAAGGCAGCAUUUUGACAUGGCCAUGUGCAAUAGCAUACGUAAGUAGCACUUGGAACUCUUGAGCAAAGCAACAAAGCAAAACCUAUAACAUCUAAGCAAGCAAAUAGUCACAGACAGAGCUAAGUAUGUUAGACUAAAAUCUUUUGUCAGCCGAAACUUUAAGCGAAAAAUAGUUAAUUCAGAAGAGAAGACGUUUAUAAAUUACUGCCAGAACAAAGUUUAAUGAAUGUAAACAUAUCUCUAAUUUAAAUCCUAAAAGAAGCCACUCUGGGUUAAACAAACAGAGCAAAGGAGAAAAUAACAGAGGUGAGUAUUGAGGUAACCUAAGUUUUGCCCGUGUCAUACACGUUCAUAGGAAAGCAAGCCAAAACAUGUUUCAGAUAUUAUUAGAAACAUUUGGCAAGUUAAAUACUACAGUUACACGUUUAUGAAUCACAGGUAGAUCCAGCAUUGAUCAACUAAAAAUUGAAAACCACAUUAACAGUAUUUACCACAUUUAAGUUGUGACGACUGCACUGCAGAAGAAUGCAAAUGUCAUUAAUUGCUCGGUCAACAACAGACUGCUCUGUUUGCAAAAAUAAAAUGAUAGUUAGAUGCCUGUCUUAGAAGUACAGGGAAGAAAGUUCCUUACAACUGUUAAAAUUAAGUAACAGAUUUAUGCAAAGAUCUAGUAAAGUAUGAUAUGUGGUUAAAUACGUUCCUCUAACAGGUAUAGGGACUCCAUUUCAUCAGCCUAUUAUAAGUAUGACAAUACCUAGGGAUGAAUGUAGAUCAUUGAGCUAACUUGCUAAAUGUAGAGAAGAUUUUAUAAAAUCAUUCAUAGUCCUUCACUGAAACUACCCCAAAGACAGAACCAAUAUUCAUUACUCAUUCCUCAAUUUUUAAAUCCUGGAAUUUGAAAUGGACCAUUAUUGAUUUCAAAACAAGGAAAUUUUUUUUGUACCUUUGAAAACUGUAGGAUGCAUGUAGUAAAUAUCCCUUUUCGAACCAUGCCUGUUUUGUUGCAGAAGUGUCUGAACUACAAGCAGCACUCGAAGCAAGACAUCUGAAUAGGGAACUCACAAUAUAGAAAUUAAUAUGAACUUUGGUUUGCACUAACAGGAAUCAAGAUUCAGAAUUGGCUGAACAGUCUUCUGGAUAGUCAUCUAAGGUUUGACCUGGUUCUUGAAAAAAAAAUUUAGAGGAUAGCAAAGUAAAAGCAAGGAACUGUCUUUCUGGUUUCCAAAAAGAAAAACAUUAUAGUCUGGGAUACAGCAACAAAGUACAUCACUCACCCAGUCUACGAGUAUGACAUUCUCUCUGCAACGUCAAUAGCUCCUUCCCCACAGAUAUACCACAAUUGCAGUAGCUGCACAAACACAAUCAGACGCUUGAAUCUCAUGCGUCUGAAAUUCUUUUUCCCCUUCUCUUUUUCAGCUAGAAAAAAAAUUAAAUCUCAAGGGCACUAAUCCACUAGUCAUUACUAUAUUUCGUUUCAAUUCCACACAUCAUCUGUCAAUUACUAAUUAGAAACAUCACUACUAUACUCAUUCCAGAAAAGGGGGAAGUAACUUAAUUUCCUACAAAGAAUAGCUCGUAUGCCCGUUGUUCGGAAACAAAAGACAUGUUGCAGAAAUUCUAAGAAUGACGCUGAAACAUAAUUUCGAAAUUGAACUGACAACUGAGAUUAAUCGAGAAAUUUGGGAUGGAUAUUCCAAAAUUAGAAAAAAAUACUUGAUCGAAGCAUUCAAGGAGAAAAAUCAUGAGUUCAAACCAGUUUCCAGAAGUUUCGGUGCAGUAGUUUCGGAAUCGAUCAAUUUGAACGACCGGCGAUUGUCCAUUGGAAAGAUUCGUGAGGAUCGAUAACGUCAGCUCUGCAAAACGAAAUCAAAAAUUAAAAAGUGAAAUUAUAGUAGAGAAGUUUCUGUUCCUCAGUUGGGGCAGAUAAUGGUGGUGCUAUUACUUCUAAUUCUUCUGAGCAAGUCGGAGGGUAUGGAACUGCUCAAGCACGAACGCUUUCCCUCCAUUUUUUGUCUGUUGGAAGUUGGAACGAGCCUUUUUAAAGUUUAAACGCCGUGACCAUAGGCGGGCUGUGGACCAAUUGGGCCAUUCAAAUGUCGAACAUGAUUCGGCUUUUGCUGGGCCCAUGUGGCCGGCACCGAAACCGUCAUCAUCUUAUCAUCCUGCAGGGAACGAUUGCCACCAGUGUUGUUGGACCCAGUUCUCAAACUUUUCUUUCUUUUUUCAUCCAAACAUAAUUUUGAGUUACCUAAAUUGUAAUAUAUGCAUUUAUUAAUAGAAAUAAAAAAUGCCAUUCAUUUAAUGUAAAUAUCAAAAUGACUCAUUUUUCUGAAUGAUCUCUAAAUCAAUAUGUGUUUCAUUCCUAUGAUUUUAUCAAUUUAGCAUCCAAUUUGCAUUAGUUUAGUUUUUCAAGUAAUUUUGGAGAAUGGAUAUAUUUUGCCAUGAAUUUACAUUUUUAUAUAUAAUUAUUAGAUGUAUAUUUAAUUGCAAGUCUAAUAUAUUUGAAACAUUUUCUAUGAUUGGCCGAAUAUAACCAAGAAUUUAAUUUUAAUAUUUUUGAAAACUUAUAAAAAUAUAAAAUAAUUGUGACAUCAUACUAACGUCAGUGGAUUUUUUAUAAUGGUUCAACCGAUCCGAUCAAUUAAUCCCCGACCCAAUAAUUUAGUCAAGUCGUUGUUCGAUCUGAGUUUAAUAAGUUGAUUGCCACGGAUGAUGAUUCAUAAUUUGAUUUUUAAAAAAAAAAACUUUUUGCGCUCUUCUAUGACUUUCCAUGAGCUAUAAGAUACCUAACUUUGUGUUCUAUAGCUAUUCAAAAAUUGACUUUUGGAAAUUCAUAAGUAUUUGAAAGCACCCUAAGCUAAAUGAAGAAUCGGAGAUGAUUUAAAAUAGAUUUUUAAAAUAAUACUACAAUACUUUCUGUGAUGCGAUAUAUGUGUAAAAGAAAAAGAGAAGAAAGAUAAUUGAAAAAUUUGACACAAUAAACAAAAACAGGACAAUUAGAAAGAGUUGAUGCAGGUCAAGAGUCUAGAAUGGUCCCUGAUUGACAGUGUCUAAUACUACUGUAAGAGAUGAUGAUGGUAAGCAUGUUGCAAUGGCAAAGCUUUAAACAAUAGACUAUUUUUUUUUUUCUUUUGGAAGGAAAACAAUAGACUUAUGUGGAUACCCAUCAAUUAUAUUGAAAACGAUAAGCCAAGCUCAACUUGUCCCAAAGUCUAAAUAUGCUUCGACAAUGAUAUCAUAUCGGAUUCCGUUCUGAUCUUCUCCCCAUUCAGAACCAAAUCUGAAAGUAAAUUAUACAACUGAAGGUCAGCGAGUCUGCAGAGAUUAGGAAGAUAAAUCAUCCCCACAACUCCACAGUGUAAUAUUCUUUGAAACUUUUGUAUACUUUCAACUCCUACAUAAUAUAACCUAGCCCCUCCCCACCCCCUCCUCCCCUUCCCACUACCCCACCAAAAGGAAAAAAAGAAAAAAAAAGAAAAAAAAGAGUUUUUAAGAGCACUAAAAUUAUUACUGUUGUUGUUGUUGUUAUUUUUUCGCCAAAUGUAGGAUAUUUUCAUAAAGUCCAGCCGAAUGCUUUCAUAACUAUAUAUACAGGUUGAUGGUAACUUCAUUUCCCUUUUUAAUUUGAUCCUAUAAUUUGUGCAAAGUACAAUUAAUUAACACUUGGUAUUGGGCAUGUGUCAAUUAUGCAUUAGCGUGGUGAGCUUUACUCUACUGGAAACACUGAUCCAGAAACUUUUUCUCCCGGGAACUGGGUCAUCCUGAAAACGAUGCCAAGCCCUUCGGAUCCACGAUGUUCUAGCAAAUUCUGAGCAGGAUUCCGAGCCUUCUACUUUCUAGUGCGGCAGAAAACCAGAAUUUCUGGACGGAACCCUUAUUGCCAAACUGUGCUUCCACUGUGUGAGUUUUUCUAGCCCAGAUCAUUUGCGGUUUUAUGCUACUUGACCCCAUCGUUCUCUAACUUGUAAAUUGCUUUCUCCCUGCCUUGCUUACAUAUCUGAAUUCAUCUGAUUAUAAUGCCACUUUUAUAUGUACUCCCCUCGUGUUCAUUUUUCAAACCUAGUGGUUCGUUACUCUUUAAUGUGGACUGUAGUGUAUAUGUUUUGUUUUCUUGAUGAUUAAUCAGGCCGUGAAGUGGAAAUCGAUUUCUUGUAGUUGUGGUUUUGCAGUAUUAUCUUUUAGCCUAAUUGAUUUGAAAACCAAUCACUUUCUUCAGAAUAGUUUCUUUUUCUUUUUGGAAUUUUACAAGGUAAGAAGCCCAAGCACUUACUGUAAUUUUAGCUAGUUGUGUCAAAGUUAACAUCUUUAAUCAAACAGAACGAAACUGCGUUUGGGGGAUCAAUCAACUUGGGAGUUUAAAGGGAUAGAAGCCUACAAAUCGUGAGCUGCAAAACUAAAUGGGGUUUGAUGCGCUAUUUUCUCACGGUGUUUUUUCUAUUUCCUUUUUUUGUUAAUUUUUUUGAAGGGAAGGGUAGGAAAUAAGGAGCUGGAAUGGGGUUUUGGAUGGCUGAACCAGCAGUCGAAGAUCAGGAAGAGUGAUCCUUGACCAUCUGGCCAUAUUCAAUCCUAUAUGGAGGUUUUCCCUAACACAUUUUCACAUCAAAUUUUUAAUGACAUAUAUUACAUCUGGAAAAGUGCUAAGGUAUCGUUUAUCUAAAAGAUGAGCUACCGUUAUUGGCAUUAAUACGCAAACAAAAUAUAUUUCUUUGAAAGUAGUAUUGGUGAACUUCAAGGAUGCUAGCAAAACCACUUCUUAUAUAUUACAUCACAGUCUGUAGAGUGUGAUAUAUUGUGCUUCUUAGGUCCUUAAUAUGUUAAAGCUGUUAAUAUCGUGCAGGGUAUUGCUCUACAUUUGCUGGAUGGCCGAGAGUGGUGUAAAACAACCAUUGUUAACUGAAUCACUUGAUGUUGCGCCAAAAACUAACCAAAAAAUUAAUCACAGAAGAAGAUUCCGCCGAUGCAAAAGUGCACCACUAGCAGAAUUUACCCCUGGAGAAUUGAAUGGAAAGGAUGGCUCACUUCCUCGCUCUGAAUCCAUCUUCAAUAAACUCCAUCCAAGUAUAAGGAAGGUUGCCAUUUACUUAUUCUUGUACCUGGCUGUAGGCGCCAUCUGCUUUUACAUUGUUAGGCACCAGAUUGCAGGAGAAAGGACUGAUGGAGUUCUUGAUUCGGUUUACUUUUGCAUUGUGACAAUGACCACUGUGGGAUAUGGAGACCUUGUGCCUAACAGUGUAGCUACGAAACUGCUAGCCUGUGUUUUUGUAUUCUCAGGGAUGGCAUUAGUUGGUCUGAUGCUGAGCAGAGGAGCAGAUUACUUAGUAGAGAAGCAGGAGGCAUUGUUGGUUAAAGCAUUGAAUUUACGCCCAAAAGUUGGACCAACAGAAACGACGGAGGAGAUUGAAACACGCAAGGUCAGCUACAAGUGUGCAACUGUAUUUAUCUUUUUGCUGGUGUUGAUAGUAGUUGGGACAGCCUUCCUGACCAUAGUUGAGAAACUAGACAUUGUUGAUGCCUUUUACUGCGUCUGCUCCACCAUCACAACCCUUGGUUACGGGGAUAAAAGUUUCUCGACCAAGGCUGGGCGUAUUUUUGCAAUUUUUUGGAUUUUGACAAGUACACUUUGUUUGGCUCAAUUUUUCCUUUAUGUUGCUGAGCUGAACACUGAGAAGAGACAGAAGGAACUGGUUAGAUGGGUCCUUACUAAGCCGAUGACCAACGUGGAUCUUGAAGCUGCUGAUCUUGAUGAUAAUGGUAUAGUUGGGUGAGUAUAUCUGCUGCCUAGAAUUGAUUCUGCAAACUCUUAUUGCUGGUUCUUUUGUCACUGUGCUCCUCAUUUACUAAGUUGUUGCCAGAUAUUAAGGGGCUUUGUUUUCCAAUUACUAAUUACCUUUUUCUUGCUUGUAUGAUAGUGCUGCUGAGUUUGUCAUAUACAAGCUCAAAGAGAUGGGAAAGAUCAGCCAAGAAGAUAUCUCAGUUGUGCUGGAAGAAUUUGAAUAUCUUGACGUUGAUCAGUCUGGAACUUUGUCAACCUCUGAUAUAUCCCUCGCCCAAUCAUCUUAAACUGCGAUGUGAUUACCUUAUCUUUAAAAAAAAAAAAAAAUAGUGAUGAUAUCCUUUCUGCUAGUUGCUUGUCGUCAUAUAGAAAUUCUUCUUUGUUGUCUACCAUGCUUCACGCAGAAGCAUGCUCCUUUCAACUUGUCAUGAAUGUAAAUGAACUUGAUGUUCUUGUCUCAGAACUGUGGGAUGAUGGCACAAGUUCUUUCUUCAUGAUGAGUAUUUAGAAAAAGUUAGCCAAUUCAGUCACUGGACGCGUUAACAUCUCCUGUAGGGGCUUCCAAGAUUGUCAGUUUGUUCUAUGUUCAAUUGCAGUCCCAUUAAAGAUAGACCUCUCCAAUAGAGCUAUCCGAUUAUGCACGUAACUAAAUGGAUAUGCCCUUUGCUCUAGAGGAGGAUGGGGCUUGGGUUGGCGGAGAGAGAGAGAGAGAGAGAGAGAGAUGCUCUCUGGAUCCUGCUUAGAGCUGUUAAUCGAGCCGAGUCGAGCCGAGUAUUUGGCUGCCGAGCUCAACUCGAGUUUAAUUCGAGCCGAGCUCGACUCGAGCUCGUUAGGAAAACGAGUUUUAAAAUGUGUUCGAACUCGACUCGUUAAGUGUACAUGUGGCUCGAGCUCGAGUUCGAGCUCGACUCGUUUAUCACAAACGAGUCGAGCUUCAUGAGCUCGAGCUCGAGCUCGUGCAAAUUAAUCUUAAUAAAAAUCUAUAAUUUUUAAUUUUUAUAAUUUUGAUUUCUAAAAUGACAAAUAUGCCCUUCAUUAACGAGUUCUAACGAGCUACUCGAGUAUCAAACGAGCCGAACUUACUCGGCUUGUUAACUAAACGAGCAUGUUUCAAGCUCGAGCUCGACUCGUUAACCAAAAUUAACGAGCCGAGCUCGAGCCUUAACGAGUCGAGCUCUAACGAGCUUUCGAGCUACUCGAUUGACUUAACAGCUCUAUUCCUGCUUAAAUGGAAUUUUCUUGUUAGUGCCUUCAUUCAUUUUGGAGACCAGUUUUUCCCUCAUCCCUAAAGGGUUCUACUCCACUCCAGAUUACACUCGGGGCUUGGGGUUACACCAAAAAAUAAGAAAGAAGAUUCUUUCUCCUGCUGUCCAAACUUAGGGGUGGAAUUUUAAGAAGCGAGAGGAGAAAAAUGUACCCAAGAUUUUAGUCAUUUGAUUACGGUUUCACUUUUUUUUUUUUUGGGAGAAACGGCUAGGGACCUGUGUUGUCAGUUGGGCAUCGGGAGCAUCAUUUGUAAUGAUCCGAUCAUUUACCAGAGUAUGUUGUUGGGUUAUGAAGAAAUCCUUUAUGGACCUCCACCACCCAUAGGCCCACAGGAUCGGAGGCGUAGCAGCUGCUGAAGUUCCAUUCCCCACUGGUUACGGUCCAGUUUGGCUACCGUCCGUUUGGAACAAGGUAAAAGUCUUAUUUAUCCCUACCCCUAUUUAUAUCUACUUAAAAUUUUUUUCAACUUUUCUUUUUUCUUUUUUUUUUAAGUGUAAUGGAAUUAGAAUCUCCCAACUACACUAUUAUCUUUCCCGGUGCUGCCCCAACCCAUCCCUCCUCUAUCUAAUUAAAGUUAAUCAGUAAAGGCCAACAACCUAAGAAUAUUGUCCAUUUUAAGACAGUUUCAUAAUUUCCGACCUGAUGAAAAAGACUGGCACCUAACUAGAGCUGUUAAUCGAGCCGAGUAUUUGGCUGCCGAGCUCGACUCGAGUUUAAUUCGAGUCGAGCUCUACUCGAGCUCGUUAGGAAAACGAGCUUUAAAAUGUGUUCGAACUCGACUUGUUAAAUGUACAUGUGGCUCGAGCUCGAGCUCGAGCUCGUGCAAAUUAACCUUAAUAAAAACCUAUAAUUUUUAAUUUUUAUAAUUUUGAUUUCUAAAAUGACAAAUAUGCCCUUCAUUAACGAGUUCUAACGAGAUACUCAAGUAUCAAACGAGCCGAGCUUACUCGGCUCGUUAACUAAACGAGCAUGUUUCGAGCUCGAGCUCGACUCGUUAACCAAAAUUAACGAGCCGAGCUCGAGCCUUAACAUUCGAGCUCUAACGAGCUUUCGAGCUACUCGAUUGACUUAACAGCUCUACACCUAACCCCUGAUUACUCUUGUUUAGACAUCACGAAAACUUGGUGUUGCCAACAAGAAUGAAUGCAGAGUGCCCAACUAUUGGACAAUAUUUACCUAAAAUCUUUUACUUUGUUAUAUUUAAUUACUUGAAAUUGUUGUUAAAACCCAUGAUUUAGUAAACAAUCAUGUAUCCCCCUUCACUUCGUACAUCAGUCCAAUUGGAUGGAAUACAAGUAAUUCAAAGAGCCUUUAAUCUAGCAACUGAAUUUGAGAUUCCAAAAACCCACAAAAUCCUAACUUCUUAAAUUUCGGACAAAUAAAUAAUAUUGGAGCAAUUUCCUUAAGAGUUGCUUGGCCAACCAUGAUAAUAUUUUGUUUUUUUUUUCUUGUGCAUAGAAAGCUAAGGCCUUUUUGGAUUGCAAUUUUUCAUCUAAAAAGUUUUACGAUUUCGUAAAUAUAUUUUUAAAUCAUUUUUUAAUUUCACAUUAUAUCAAAUUAUUAUGGUAUUACUCAUAUGUUUCGCGGACAUCAUAAACAUAUUUUUCAACCCACUUUUUUAUAUUUUUAACCAUUUUCUUUAUCUCAAAUCCAUCGUAUCACAAAAAAUGUUACAGUAAUUAUUUCAAAUAAUAGUAGUCUAUCCUAACAAAUUCAUAACUAUUCAAAGGGUUCGACAAAUAAUUUUCAUACUUGAAAUUCACAAAUUGAAUAUGGUCGUUGCUUCAUAAACAUCUACGCAAUAAUAAAAAUCAUCAAGGGAUUGGGCAAAGAUUAAGAUAAAAGCAAAAGUCAUUGUCCCGACAUGGAGAAAUGAGCAGACGGACCUAAGUCCUUUCUAAGGUAUUGUCAGCCAACAGUGUCUGUCGAUGUCAAAUCACAGUCAAACGAGCGUCUCCAACUCUAAUCUAAUUCAACCCCUUUCAUCAUUUCCACAUUGAUUGAGAAAACCGAUGGAAUAAAAACAAAAAAAAGUACUGCCCUUUGCCGAAAGCAAAAUCCCAUUUUACUAUGAACCACCACCAAAUUCAAAAUAUGUUUAUCAAUUGUAACUUCUGCCAGAAAAAUUGCACUUGGUGAUACUCAAAGUGGUGAGAAUAAUUGUACAUAUGAACCACCCAAACGAAAAGGAAUUAGGGGACCCAACUAUCAAGCAGCAAGAGUGAUCUGAACGACAUUUAUUUAAUUUCUGCAAUAUACAAUUCCCAACCUGUCAAAGUCCUUGAUCUCCUUAAACUACAAACAAUAAUAAUGUCAAGAGAGAGAGAGAGAGAGAGAGAGAGAGAGAGAGAGAGAGAGAAAUCCAAGGAAAGAGAGAAACGUUAGAAGCUAGCAAUUGAUUUAUGCAAGCGUUACUUGUUACUACACCAUGCUUUUUACUCGUCAUCAUUUUCUGCUAUUCCUUUUCCUUUUGCUGCUGCUGAUGCUGGUGCUGAUACGGCUGCCUCCUCUGCUGAAUCAUGUUCAUCUACUUGGGUUUGUAGAUUAUCUGGCUCGCCAGCCACGUAAUCCAAAAUCCCUUCACCGGCUUUUUCACCCGAAGCCUCCGGAGGCGGCGGAGAAAUCCGGCCAAACACCACUAUGGCCACCAGGAAAAGAGCCGUUGAGACCAAAAGGGGCCAAAAGUACUUGAGAAUAUCUAGGAAACUGGGUGCAAGAUAGACCAAAAAAAUAAGUAAAAGGCUUAAAAUGGCCCCAAUUAAGAUAUGCACCUUGAACUUCAAAAGCUUUUCUGGGAUAUCCAUAGCCGCUGAGAUGGAGGUGGAGAUGGGCUUGUGAGUUGUGAUAGGCUGUUGUGGGUUUCUGUAAGAAAGAGAGAGAAGGAAGAGAGGGAGUGGGGGCCUGAGGUUUUGGGGGGCUUUUAUCUUUCUUGCAGAGAUUCUCUGGCCGGGAAAAAAAAAUUUUUCCUUUUUUCUAAGGCUUUUAACUUCGAAGACUGU
rnacentral:lncRNA from 1 species